rnacentral:lncRNA from 1 species
UUUGAUCUGAGCAAAGGUGCAACCAAUUGAAGUUAUUUUGAAGAACCUACACCUGAGUAUAUAUGUUCUGAUUUUAUAGCCUGCAGAGUCUGUAGAGUAAAGUUUGUACAUUUUGUGAAUCGCUUUGUUCCGGUUUCCCUUGGUGUAUAGUCUAUACUGUAUCAGGUUAUUUACUAUGUGCAGAUUUGUUUGUGCCAUUGCUAAUCAUGUACUUCUUUCUGUGCUUGGAAGCAUAGUCUCAUCGUAUCCCCUAGAUCUGUAUAAGUAUAUUUAGCUCACAUACACUUGGCAUUUGUUCUUCAAAAGGCGAUGUCCUCGAUGCUGGACUCCUGGUAACAGUUUAUUACAUGUUAUUUCUUUUUUUUUGGUGAGUCUUUUCUUGAGAUUUAGGAUUAUGGAGUUAACGGGUGUUACUUUUGACCUGCUAAUACAACUGCGUUAAACUUUUUGCUCUUCCAAAGCAACUAUGUAAGUCUGACGCUAACAUAAUGUUUACUGCUAAAAUACUUCAGUAUAACUUAGAGUCAGGAACAUAAGUAGAAUUUCAUAGAAAUCUGUCUAGCUCCUGUAGAUGAAAGACUUCCUGCAAGUGAGCUCUUGAAUAACUCUUACUUCCAGGAAGAUGAGGUCUAUUCCAGCGCCUCCAAUUUCAGUCUCUCUGGUCUCAAGUGUGACUGAAGAUGGGUGGCAAUCUGCAAGUUUCGUGCUUUGGAAGGGUGAAUUCUUACUGAAAAACCAUAUGCAUCUUACCGACCAUAUUAAUUUAUUGCUAAGGUUUCCUCAUACCAGUGAUAAAUAUAGCACUGAAGAAACUUUUAAAUCAAACUUCACUUCAGUCUAUAAUGACACUACGAAUUAUUUCAGGCUGUUUAAAGAAUGCUGAGUUGUCAAGCGAGGUGCUGCAGUGGCUGGCGUUGCCGGGCAUGGGACGACGUCUCUAGGCUCCUGCCUGAGGCAAGCCUCUCCGGUCUCCUCGGAUGCCCUCUAGGAGCUGGCACUGCGUAUGAUGGCCUCCUCACCUAGCACCUAGGUUGACCUAGCCACCGCCAUCGAAGCAGAGAGUUGACAACAUAUGUAUGAUUGUUGGACAUGUCAGUCCUGCCAUUGGCAUGUUCAAAACUAUGAAUUGAGUGACUACAAAUAUGCUUUGAUCAAUGAAAUGAAAGGAUGUUCUGUUACAUCUUGUUGUGCAGAUAUAGGGCUUGAAUUAUUUUCGGUCGUAUCAUCUUGGCCCUAUAAUAAAAAAGCGAGUGUGGGAGGGCGCGACCAGUUGCUACCAGUAUCAAGGUGCACUUGAUGUGUAGUUAUCAGUCAAUGAGAACCAUAGAAAAAUGGAGGCACCGACUCUAGGAGUAUAUAUCCGCUCCCAAAAAAAGGGUGUGCUAUAUAUUGAAUGGUUCAAUAUAGGUCAGUGAGUUUGAGGCAGCAAAAAGCUUUAGAGCUAAAAUCAAUAGGAAAUGGUAUUUGUUUCUUAAGAAGUUUUUUUGAUAAAUGUAAAAAGGAAAAUGAAUUAGUUAGUUAGUAAUAAUAGAGAAAAGGAGACCAUGACUUGAUUGUCUAUUUAUCCUUGCUCCAUAUUCGAAUUUUCUGCCAGCGGCUGUCGUCAAUCUGCCCUUGCAUGCCAUCUACUUCCAAUUCACUUUUGCGAGAGGUGCAUGCCCGGCCGUCGACAUUGAUGCAUCCUCUCACUCAACAUCGUGACUCCGCAGGACGGAGCUGACAGAUCGGUGAACCGCAUAAUGGUCAACAAAGAGGCAAAAAGUAGAUGAUUUUGACGCUUUCGAUGGUGUAUGCGGAGGUAUUUUUCACCUUUUGCCGAAAGCAACACAGGGGUCUCCUACUAGAUGAGACAGGGGCGAAGCCCACCAUCAUUAUAAAUUUUCAUAAUUACAAGUCGAUGGAGGGAGGGGUUCACGAAAGCCGCGUGCUAGAGUGUGAUGACCAAUCCCCGGUUCGGCUGUUGGCACCCAUCAACAAUGCACGGCGGAUCAGACUUUGAGUGACCCUCCACGACCCAGUUCCUUGAUCCCGCUCACGGUAGUGUAGCACUGCGACGACCGCCAAUGACACCCUACUCAGGGUGCUACUUUCCUCGACGGCCUCCCUGUUGUCACUGUAGCGGGAUGCGUGGGACCAAAUGUAGGGAAUAGCUUGCGGAGAGCGGUCCUCAUGUCCAGCUCGACAAGAUUAGUUUUAAAUGUUUUAAACAUUCCAUUGUGAUUGCAUGUUAAUGACAUGUGUGUCAUGCAAUGGCUGGGAUUGACGAAGUCCAGACAUGUUGUGAUUAGAGGACACUGCGGUAAUCGCCGGCGGUGAGGGACUAAGAUAAGUGGUGACACGUGUUGGCGAGGGACUAAGAUAAGUGGUGACAUGGCUGGGACACCGUGUUGAAAUAGAGGACGUUGAAUUGUGGGGGUUUUGAGCCGUAUUUAUCGGGCACGUUGCAACGCACGGGCAUAUUUACUAGUUGGGAGUAGAAGGAUGGAGCGCCCCACCCUCCUGAAAAUCAGGGCGUGAAGUUAAUUUUUUUUGCGGGAGUGGAGUAGUUAGGAAGGUCACGUAAGUCUUUAUAGGCGCCGGCGUUUGAUUAUUCGCUUAGAGCCGUUCAGAUCUGAUUCCUUCGUCCCUAACCUUCCGCCCCCACACAGCAAAAACAAAAGCAGGCUCCAAGCGCAGCGUGGCUGCCCGCCUCCACCGUCUCGGGCCGUCCUUCCCGGUUCACUUCCUCGCCUCCGCCAUCUCCAGUCGUCCUUCCCUGUCCACAUCCUUGCCUCCCCCAUAGAUCGUUGUAGCUUGCCUCUGCCAUGGUUGGAAGCAUCUCCGUUUCAGGGUUACAGCAAUUUUUUUGGCCGGUUGUAGCUCACUUUCUCACCCCCCCAGCCAUGGCCCGCCGUCUUUGUCGGUUGCAUCUUACCGCCGUCGCAUCUCGCCGCCGGAAGAAAGCCGAUGCAACUUCCAUCUGUUGGUCCCCAUCGCUGUUGAAGGAAAAAAAGGCGCCGGUCACAACUAUCCUAAUUACCGGUUCCAGCAAAAGACCGACGAUGCAUCUCCCCAUCAUGCAGCUACCAUCGCUUAUUUGUAGCCAAAAAUACAUGGGGUUCCAGCAAAACAAAAAACGGUGGUAGCAAUACAUUGCCAAACAAAAUGGACGCCGUCCCCAGCAAAAAAUCAAAAACUUCGGUGGUAGCAAAAAAUCAAACUCGUUUCAGCAAAACAAGACGCCAGUGGUAGCAAAGCUUGCAAAUUUGGGUGCUGGUUUCAGCAAAUUCAAAUGCCGAUGGUAGCAAAAAAAAAAGUAUGGGUUCCAGCAAAGAAAAACGACGGUUGUAGCAAAAAAUUUGCAAAAUUGGUCAUUGGUUCCAUCAAAUCAAAAUGCCAGUGGCAGCACAAAACGGUGCUGGUUCUAGCAUCUGGUCGCCACGGUGGUAGCAUUGCCGGUCGAGGUUCACCCACCCCGUCGCCCCUGCCGUUUGCACCUCCUGGCGUGGCCGGUUGCAGCUCCCGCGUAGCCGGAUGCAGCUUUUCCGUACACCGGUUGCAGCUCCCGGCGUGCUUCCUCCCUCUGUCCUCGCCGUCCUGUGGUUCAUCUCUGGUCUCUGUGGCAACAGGGGGCAUCGGGGAGCAGGAAGGGGAAAUGCUGAUGAGCUAUACAAGACUAGUAAGUAGCACGUGUUCCACACGUUGAGAGAUACAAUGGAAAAAUGAAAAGUUUAAACAAGGUGUCAUAUACAUUAAGACAUAAAGACAAGGUGCUCCAACAAAUAAUCUAUUCUGAGCAAAAUAAGUUGACAUGAUAUCAUCAACUGGAUUAACAGAAUCCAUUUUUUUUUCAAAUGAAGCAUCUGGUAAGUGGUUUCCACAUAAAGUUUACAUGUGGCAUAUACUUGUGUAUUUAUGGCAAAAUAGGGAUAAACCAAUACAAAUAGCUUGAUUAACUUCAAACUAUAUCAAAUAUCCAAGGCCAGCAAAUUAUAUGUAUAUAAGAAAUCUAGAAUAUGAAAACAAAGUAGCGCACUGUUAAUUUUCCUCAAAACCACGUUCAAGAUCAAGCUAAGCGAGAUAAUAUAUACACAAGUUAAUUUCUUUUUGCAUGGCUCAAGAUGUGAUCAUGACCACAUUUUAUAUGGACUUACGAAUAGGACAUGAAAAGUUUCAGUAAAAUACUUAUAAAAAUAUGAGUUAAAAGAUAAAAAUAUUUCAGUCCGCACAUGUCUAAUAGAAUUAUUUGCUUUAGGAAUGACGAUUGUUAAUCGAUGGUACAGUUUACAUGGAUUAACCCUCAAAUAUUGAAAUUUUACUAUUGCACUUUAUUUAUUUAUUUUAGUUUUACUUGUAAGCUCCAAGUAAAAAAAGAGACAUUUUUUGUUUGACACCGCUGUAGUGGGGGGCUCCAGAGGGGUAAAGAACGUGAAGCAUCAAGCAUCUCCUUCAAAAAAAAAAAUUAUUACCUUCGGCACACAGCUACCUAUAUCAUUCGUCGACAAAAGUUCUUGACUGAAGGGACAAAUGCUCUACCGGCUGGGUCAAAGCUACAACCACUCAAACGGACGGGCUUCUGGAAAUAUCGGGUAUCUCCUGGCUGGUUCACGCGGCCUGGGGCAGAGUUGAUGGGCGUGGCAGGACAGGCGAAUCCCACAAAUGCUAGCCGUUGGAUUCUUAGCGUUGAUGAUUGAUGAACGGUAGGUGCCAACCCAUCUCGGCAGAUCAAUGGCUGCAGUUACUCGAGUGGUGCUUUGGCGGGAAGAGUGAGAGGAAAGUGGUAAAUCCAAGUUCAAAACUGCAGUAGAGAUAAAAAGGAAAAAUCUCGUGGGAGAGGGAUGAAAAGAGGAGCAGAUGGGGGUCCGCUGGUGGCAGCCUCGCCGGAGAAGCCACGACACUCACCGGAGCUAGGGCGCAGAGAAAGAGACAGCGAGGCUGCGAGAUGGGGAUGGGGGCGAGAUAGGAUACGAUGGGUGUGGACCGUGUGGAGCAGAGGAUAAGAAGAAGAAAAGGUCUGCAUGUUGUCGCUUGUGCUGCGUGGCAUGUGCGUGCCCGAGCGACCGGCCGAGCAUUCAGCCGGUGGCAAACGUUUCCCGUCUUUAUAGGCCACCCAGACCUAGAUGUAGGAUUAUCCUUAACUUAACUAAGGGCAUGUACAAUGGUUCUAUCUUAGAAUGCCACAUAGGAUAAAUGAUGAGGUGAAGGAGAGAGAAAUCAUAAGAAAAGGCUUGUCUUAUCUUAUUUCAAAGAAGACAAGAGAUCAUCUCUUAGCACAAUAUGUCUCACCACGUUUUUAGGAAUAACUAGUUAUUGAAGAUAAGGCUAAGAGAUGACCCAUUGUAGACAUAUAUUUUUGUCAUCUCUAAAUUACAUGCAAGACUUAAGAUAAGACUAUCUUAUCAACCAUUAUACCUGUCCUACGUGAUAAUACUACUGUUUUAAUAAGCAGGCAUGCACAUGCGUCGCGUCCCAGCGCUCCAGAUCAAAGGAAACAAAUAUCCGAAAGAUGCAUGUGCUCCUACUGAUCGAUCACGAGCACUAACUACUCCGAGGAAAAAGUAGCUGCGCAGAAAUAUCCAUGCGGUCGACAUAUAGAGGUAGAAUAAUCGUAGUAUCAGUUGGUUUGUGAUGUGCGUGGCACGUUCGUUCCAACGGUCCGUCAUGGUGGACGGCGACCCGGCCAGCUAGCAGCUGCACUUGUAGUUCUAGUCCUAGACUAGACAAGGAGAGGAGCGGAUAAAACCCACCGAGGCAGUUCCUAGCCGGAGUGCCUAGCGCCGCCGCGGCGAAAAUCGGGGAGCUGGGUUGGACGGGAGCGAGUCCGCCCCGGCGGCGGCGGGCUCGUCAACUCAGAGGCAUGCUGUGCUGAUGGAUCCAUCGUCGGGAGCUCGGUUGGCUCAACGCAGCAGGCUUUGUUGGAUCAGGAGGCAAAACUGCGUUGCGUUUCCAAGGCUUCCGAGUCCAAAGCCAUGAAGAUAUCGAGGCAGGCAGAGCGGCCGAGCGGCCGCGAGUCGCACGCCACAACCACGAGGUACUACCUGGCGGCCGUCGCGCCACUAGUUAAGUACGUGCAUGAGCCUAGGACGCGACGUAGGCGAAAAUCCUACACCUACGAAGAGAGCGUACGCAAGGUUACGUACCCAAAGGCCAAUCCUAACUAUCCACGCCAGUUAAUACGUAGAUUACGUACCUAGNNNNNNNNNNNNNNNNNNNNNNNNNNNNNNNNNNNNNNNNNNNNNNNNNNNNNNNNNNNNNNNNNNNNNNNNNNNNNNNNNNNNNNNNNNNNNNNNNNNNNNNNNNNNNNNNNNNNNNNNNNNNNNNNNNNNNNNNNNNNNNNNNNNNNNNNNNNNNNNNNNNNNNNNNNNNNNNNNNNNNNNNNNNNNNNNNNNNNNNNNNNNNNNNNNNNNNNNNNNNNNNNNNNNNNNNNNNNNNNNNNNNNNNNNNNNNNNNNNNNNNNNNNNNNNNNNNNNNNNNNNNNNNNNNNNNNNNNNNNNNNNNNNNNNNNNNGAAUUAUGGUUAGGAAGGUUACGUUAUUUUACGUAGAUGGAGCAUUAUUGGUACUAGCUAAAUGCUCAUGCGUUGCUACGGAAUAAUUUUUUUGUUCUAAUUCAAAAAUGUUUGUAAACAUAAUGACAUGUGGUUUAUGUUCACAUAAGGACAAUUUGAGUCUCUCUCCACUCCUUUCCUUCUCGUCCACCACCCUCUCCUUACAAGAAGACAAACCAACAUUUUUCUCCCCACUACUCAUCCCAUCAACCUUCAUUCUCAUCAUGUGUCUAAUCUCCCCUUUAAAAUUGUAUGUCGACGUGUCUAAUCCCUCUUUCAAAAUUGUAUGUCUACACAUUAUAUCUUCUAAUUUGAAAGAUUCUUUUGAUCUCCUUUUUAUGAAUAGUUAAUUGGAUACUCAAAGGCGGUAAUUUAAGCGUUCCAUUUUUGACUUUUUAGUAAUACAAAUCAAACUUGGCAUUGGCUUGACACGGGUUUGAUCAGAACAAUUGUUCUUGAAUUUCCAUAUGGAUAAUUAUAAAACAAACGAGUCAUAUGAUUUCCCAUAGAUAGCCCUCAAAUAGAAGGGCAAACCCAUAGGAAGGCUAAGUACAGGGCUCUCGCCAAGAGAAAUAGUUGUAUCAGAGAACAAUCUCAGAAUAACAUGAAGUAAGUGUAUGCCGGUGCAGGCGCGCAGUACAACACGGAAGUAAGUCCCCGCAUUUGCUGAUCUGUAGUAAAUUUGGUUCCCCCUGCUGCUACUGCUCCCUAACGAUUCCAACAUUUUCUACAACACGUGUCGUACUUCGUGUGCUUUGUCAGCUUCGUCUUGUCUACUCCUACAUUGGCAAUGGGAGUGUUUGCAUAGAAGACACCACAGGCUUCACCUCCAUCUGCCUCCAGGUCUAUUUAACCUCCAUCAUAACCUAGUGAAGAGAAAGCAAAGAAAACAAUCUAAAUCCACAAUGUCCAACCAUUUGAUUCAUAGAUUGAUGAUAAAAAAGAAUAGGGUUUCCCAAAGUGUAGAAUCAUUCCCACGACCUUUAUGACCUGAAGUAAGCAUGAACAUCAACCAUAACGCAGCUUAUAAGAGUGCACUUCCGCACAAUAUGAUGACAACAAAUAAGGGCCAUACAAGUCGUGGUUGAAACAAAUUUUUCAACUUCAACACUGGGAGCUGGGUGAAAUAAAGAUGCUUACUUGGCGGAUACUCUUGCUAUUGAGACACACAGUCUGAUAGUCAUGGUGUCUAUCUUGCAUGGUAGAUCAAAUAAUUCACGUUGUAAAUUGUAUGUUAACGAAACUUAUGAGAAGUAAAUAUUCUAGCACGCAUUUGGACCAUCAUUUUAACAAUAUUGUUCACUCAACCCAGGAAAAAGUUGCAUGAAACACCAUCAUACAUCAAAACUUACCAUCACAACAGUAUCAUCUAUGGACAUUUUUUUCUGAGCCAAGACUUCCUGUAGAUGAUUUGACCGUAUGAUUUAUUCCAAGACCUGCUGUAAUUAUGGUGUAUCUGCAGAAUUGACAACUGCUAAUUCGCAUUUAGAAACAUGUAAAUGUUGUUGGAUUAUUCAGUUCAAAUAUGUUGGAUGCUAUGUAUUCAUGGAUUCAGCAAUACCAUACACAAUUGUUUACAAAAUUAAAAUGAAGGGAAACACAGACGAUUCUCCUACUUUGAUAUUUCUGAAACUACAGUUGGCAGGUUACGCAAGAGAGUUAACAUGCGGCCAUACCCCAGCUGCCCCUUCUGCUAAAAAUAACAGUCUUAAGUACGAAACGUAACAAAAUUAAGCAUCAACUCGUACUUAUACCUCAUUUUGACCAUACACUAAUCCAGGCAUUUCCACACACAAACUGGGUAACUUCCCAUGCCUUCUUAUAAUAAUUAGACGAAGAAAUACAGUGGAGUAAAGUAAGGAACUCACCGCAGCUGGAGGGGCCGAAGCGGAUGUCGACGCCCACAAGAGGGUGCAGCCGCGUCAAGGACACCAGGCUGCAUGCGCUUGCAGGUCUAGGAGUCCAACGUUGCAGGUACUUGCGUGAUGAAAAAAAAAAAUCAUCCCUCGCCGUAGAAUAUAGCUAGCACCCGACGACUAAUUCCGACAAAGAGAGGAUUUAUUGACUCAAAAUGAAGCAUCAAGAGGAUACAAACACAAUGCGCACACACCCGACCUCUGCAUAACUAAGAUGCACACAGCCAACACAAACGCACAAACACAAAAACACGCUCGCGAAUAACAAAGUCAUAUAAGACCAAAGCCAUCCCUAUGCGAGGAAAAAGAAAAAAAACUCGAAGUGAUCAAAUCCGUAAUCGACAAACUACAGCUAUGGCCAUAUCCGCAUCAACCAUUCCAUGGCAACACACUCGACGACUAAUUAGGCACCAAGCAAACAAAAAUAAGCGUCAUCGACCUGGAAGCUAAAGCUGACACCCACGCUGGACAUGGCCAACUUAAUUUAUCUCCAAGUCAGAGCAAUGGCUCCAUCAUUUCGUCUGUGAAAAUAAAUGAGGUGAUCAUCCAUGAAAGAGGAAAAGUGAAACUACAUAUCCUGAGAGGAGAGAAAAAACUAAACUUCUCGUAAAUAAUUAACAGCCAGUAUUACCUCAAGACAGAGAUAGUAGUGCCUCGAUUCCUUUGUUCUAUUUCCAUCUUGAUAUCUAGCUAAUCCUCUGAUUAUCAAAUUUGAUAUUAGUGUUUCCUUGUUUUGUUGGUGCCCUCGAGGAUUCUUCACAAUGUCUAUCUCAGUGAUCCUUGACUGCCGAGAUGUGACAUAUAUAGGAUGCCUAUCUAAAGCGCCAUCUCAAACGGGAGGUGGAUCCUGACGUUCCCAGGACACGCGCACUAACUCCAGCUGCCUUUUGUCUCAGCCUCUCCUGCAAAAUAGAAACACCCAUGAAAGUAAACCAAAUCAAUCUUAGAAGCAUGAGUGGGAGGGAUUUCAUCAUCCUACCGCCUGGUCGAAAGAGAUCGUGCCGUUGUUGAGCCGUCGCCCCUCAGCCGAUAAGGUUUUGUCGGCGGAAGUGAAAGCCGUCGCUUCCCCGAUGUGUCGCCUUUCGUUCAGAUCGGCGCACGCAGAGGGGACAACGCCAGCGCGCCGGAUAGUCGUUGGCGGAACACCGGCGAAGGCGGCCACGCCCGUACCCAGAACCAGCAUAAGCCGCCGGUGCCGCAACGGCCCGCAAAGCAGUUGUUGCGUUGCCAUCAGGGGAGAAGCGGCGGCGCCCGUGAGGUGGUGGUCGUUCCGGCGGCAUGGGGUGCAAAACAGGAGUGGUAGAGGAGACCAGCCGCGGCAACAUGGAAAGGAGAAUGGGAGGGGUGGGGAGAUUGGGGGGUGCAUCCUAGGAAGAGGGACGAGGGUGCAAGAGUACGUGCGUGCGUGGGCUUCCGAUGGGAUCGUGGGGAGAGGCACCUUCUCGGACGGGGGAAACCAAACAUGGACGUGUGGGUACAGGAGAAAGGAUGCGAGCGGGAUUGUCUGCGGGCUCUUUUUCUGACGUGGGGUGGAAAGGAGCGAUCGAGGGGGGGUCGAAGGAGGUGGUCGAACGAGGAAAGGUUGAACCAUCACGACGUUCGAUCCCCCUUUAAUAGUAGAGAUGUACAUGGAGUUGACCACUUGCCUAGCUGACGGACGGAGCACGGACGGAGCGGGAUAGAUCAUCAAGCGACGAGAUGGCCGUACCGGCGGGCCUUGGACUGGACCCGUCGACCGGCCGGCGAGGCCGCCGUCCCGCGCGACUGGUCCGUCCGGUGAUGCGGUGGACCCGUCAUUAUUUCAUAGAGCUCAAGGCUGGUCGGGUUUGAAUAGACACUACGACUGAAGUUACUAUCUCAGAGGUCAGUCGAGACUCGGGACGUGUCUGGCUGCUGCCUGCAGGCAGCGACUGCGUCUCAGAACUCCAACCAUGAUUGAGCUAGCCAGCCACUACACAAGUACGUACAUGGAAAAAGUACAUCACAUAAGAUGAUGAUGAUAUUUACAAAUACGAAGUACUACUUACUACAGUACUUUGCAAACAAAAUCGAAACUGUAUCCAUAAUAAUACAAUUAUACAAGCAUGAGAAUAAGGAUCUCAAUAGCAAUCUCAUGGGACAAGUUGCGGUCAAACACAACAAUUUCUCACUCCAAUUGUAGCAAGUAAACAGGGGAUUGACUUGAGUCAGAGAAACACCUUGUUAACAGAAAUAGGCAAAGUAGAAAAGAUAAUCAAACUUCAUGAUUCCUGAUACUUGGUCAGGUAGUUCCAUAUCGCCCCUCCCAAACAAACCACUUUCUGUAGAUGAACUGGACGUAUUGUUGAUUAUCUUAAUAAAUAAGAUAAGAUAGGUGAAACAUGCAUGAACAAUUUGGGAGCAGCAAGCAAUAAAAUCACCUAACUAAUAGGACAUGGCUUCAAGAAGUUGGCAACGUUUUCCUCUUGGCUUGAAGCCCAAGCAAGCUUGCCCUCAGCAUUACCGGACAUAGCAAGAAGACAUCCAAUACUGGCGUCCGUGAGAGAUAGAGGUGUGCAGUUAAAAGUCUUGCUGCUCAUAUCAACACGAACCCAAAAGCUCGGCGUGGAUGGAAAGCAGAACUCCGGGUCCUGGUACAUGUACUCACCCAGUGCGAAGUAGAUGACACGGUCUUCCUGCAUGCUGAGGAAGGGGUACAUGGGUGCCAUGGAGGUCGGCAGGUGGUUCCCUUUGAAAGCCCCCGCCUCUUCAUGCAGGCUCCCAAAGUUGAGCUCGUAGUCUAAAUCCCAACUCAUAUCUUCCUUGAGACUCCAGACCCUCACCAUGCGGUCAUCCGCAAGAUCCACACGCUCAAGAAAGCCGGUGAUGGAGGCAAACUUGAUGGAGUCCCCAACACAGCCCACGGCUCGAAAGGCCCUCGGUUGUGGUAUGUCGUCUCUAUCGCCGAGGUACCUCUCGCACCCCACGGGGAGGUCUAGGGAGCGGACGUCCACGGAACGCUCGUCGGAGAGCAGAUCAGCGCAGUCACAGUACAUGCCACCGAGCAAGAGAUCCACCCAGUAACCACGGCCACGGUGCGAGAACACCUCUUCGGCGACGAAGUCGCUAUUUUCCGCGAGCAGGUGGUCGGGGAAAUCGGCGUGCUUGGCUAUCUCCCACUGCGAGUCGGACGAGGACGGCGACACGAAGAGAAACAGGCUCCCGUCUAGAGCCUAUGCCGCGGAUGGACCCCGGGAAGGCCAGGGCGUAGCACGUGUCGUCGUCCCGGCGGCGCGCGACGAGGAGAAGGCCGUGAGGACGGUGGCGCGAGGGAGCGAGCUGGGCGGAGACGGGAUCAUGUGGAGCGAUCUGUCGAUUGUGUUGUAGAUGAGAUAGAUGUCCCGGGGGUAAACUUCGGGAAAGCACGUAAUCAUGAGGAUCAGGUUCUUGUCGACGGCAUGGAUGUAGGUGGACAACGGGGGGACGCCUCGAAGGGUGAGGCGGCACAAAUCUGGUGCACCAGCAAGGUCCGCUUCUAGCGCCAGGCCCCAUAUGAGCGCAUCGCAAUCGAGGUCUGCAGGGAACCCGAACGCCUCCUUGGCUGACAGCAGAUUCUUCGGGUCGUCGGUCGUUUUGUCGCCGGGGCGGUACGUGCCCACGAGGGGAUGCAAUAGGAAUAGGGAACGCGAGGGCGGAGUCAUGACUGACGUUUCGUCGACUGAUAGUAUUGAUGCGUGUGUCGUGGGGGAUAGGGGUGGCAGCGGCUGCUGCGGCGGCGUAGAGGAUGAUGAAGACUUUGAGGAGCCGGAGGGUAAGACGGGCGCAAGGACAAAGACGAUGAAAUAAGUAAAUCAAACGGAAGGAGUGUCCACCGAUCUGUGUCUAUUUUAGGAUUCGUGAACGUUUUAUAGGGAAACUCUUCUUCCAAUCCGACGUCUGAUAUAUUUCAAUCGUCAGACCGAUCCUCGUCCGACGAUGUUACAAUCUGUUACCGCAACCUGUUACACAAUUCCCGUCCGACAAAAAAAACAGUAAUUAUCCCCGAUCGUUCAUGGUUCAUCUCCCAGGCCGACUGCGCUGCCUCAUUUUUCUCUCGUGCGCUGCCUCCAGCUCCAAGGUCGCCGUCGCUCCGGCGCCGGCACGCCGCACGCGACGCAGCCCUGUUCCACAGAACCGAUGUAUUGUCUCCAUUGGAGGCCGUGCUGGCCAGGGUGGCAGUUUGGAGUACCAACAACGGCUGAAGUCUUCUGUGUCGAUUGUGUCUCGGCUGGCCAUUUUGUUUCAGCCACGUCAGAUCACACGGGUGACUGCGCGAAUCAGCGACAAGUAUUUGGCCUAGGUUGCCAUUCAUCUUUUUCCCUGUCCUCUCGAAGUUCAAAUCUGUGCAAUGCAUCAAUAUUGACCAUCCAUUAUAUCUUAUUUUUAACAGACUUCGUGUUGAUAGCAUGUUUCUUUCUUUUGUUUUAGUUUGUCUAAAUCACCAAAUUAUGAUUAGAUGUUUGUACACCUCAGAUUUAUGCACCCACAAGCAUUGCUAAUAUCCAAUUUGUAAUUUCUAUCCUUCUACAUGGUUCUUCCAAACAUGCCCAUUCUUCUUAGUGCAUCUUCAACGGCGACCCUCAAACCGCGGAAGCCAUCUGACUGAGCCUGUAUCGGUCCGCAAGACGGUCCGAACGUGUCGCUGCACAGAAGUGCAUGCUCCAGCCAAUGCAACAAAAAAAACAAUCUGAUGAAAAAGACCAGGCAAUGCUUUUACCUUCUUAGAAAUAAACAUCAAUGUGGUUUUAUUCAAUCUCAGACCUGGCGAGGCUGGGGUAAAAGUAAAACAGAUAAGGAACACUUUCCUACUGUCACAAAAAUUACACAAUGCCAAAAAUAACUUUCGAUCCGAUAGGUGGGUCGACAAUUAUGCCCCAAAGACAAAGACAUGGCUCCUUCAUUACUUACCAAGUGAAAGGAAGAACUGUUAUGCGUGUGCUUCAUGAUGGUACUUGGACGCGCAUGUUUAGAACCAUCACCACCAACGACUGUGGUAGCUAUCAACGCAAUGCAGAGUGCCUUUGUUCUUCUUCCUUUUUUUCGCUAAAACAAAUUAUCACACAUAAGCAACAUGGAUAACAACAUCACAACCUCAGGCACCAAUCCAUGGUCUUAGAUGUUGACUUGUAUUGAUUGAUCAUAUGGAUAACAAGCAAUGUACUCUAGAUAGAUACGUACGUGGAUAACGGACACAUGUUGGCCAAACAAGCAAGUCCUCUUCGAAUUCAAGCAACCUCCUCGUUAUCGAUAGUACUCGUUAUCCACGCCGUACAGCUCUGUGUAGUCAGCGAAACCGGACUCCUCGAAGCCUAAGAGGGUGUUUGUUUUCGGGGACUUUUUUGUGUAGGAACUAAAAAAAGUCCCUCUUAGAGACUUUUUUACCAAAUGGGAGGGACUUUUUAGGGACUAAACUAGGCAUUUGGGACUAAAUGAAGAAGACUCUCAAGGAGAGUCUUUUUGGGACUUUUUGGGACUUUUCCAAUAAUGCUCCUUCAUGCACCCAUUGGCCCGCCACCCCAUGGUGUUGUUUGAUUGUUAUUUUUCUAUAUACUAGGGGCAACAUGGUCAUUUAAUAACCUCUAGGAAGGGAUUAGAGACUUUUUAGUCUCUGGAAACAAACAGGGAGGGACUUUUUAGGGACUAGGGACUUUUUAGUUGGGACUAGAAAAAGUCCUAGGACUAGAGAACCAAACACCACCUAACUCAGCCAUCAUCUUCUCCCAAUAUUCCGUGAAAUACUCCCGGAGAUCUUCCUCAGGCUCGCUGCCGCCAUCGGUGGCAGGUUCUUCAUCAGGUGCGCCGAUGUCGUGGCCCAGGGUCUUGGAUUCAUCAACGCUGUCGGGGAUCAGGACCUCGAGUUUCUUGGGCUGGCUGACGUCGGAGUCCGGGACCAGGGUCAGCGGUGGCUCAGACCCACCGGAAUGCUGGACCUCCGCCUCGCCGCCGCCAGCCGCCUUCCUUUUGGUGGCGCACCCCUUCUCGCCAGCCACCGCCGUCUCCUCCGCCUUCCUUUUGGUGACGCCGACCUUAAGCAUGGCGGGCAACAUCACCGUGCCCUCUUCAGCAGCCAUGGAUGGAUCUGAGCCGCGCAGCCUCAAGCCCUCAACUGAAGAUUAGUUUCGCCGGAAUCUGGAUGGUGCUGCAGAUAUGGAACCCUAAGAGCAUCUUCCAGUAGCCGCGCUAAAAAGCAGCGCGCAGCUCCAGCAGUACGCAAAAAUGCAGCGCGCGCAACUCUCGCACAAACAACAUAUGCAUUCCAAAACAGAAGCAAAAAGAUCAAACACAAACAAAAAUAAAUCAAAAUAAAUAGUUCAAUUUCAUUAUUACAACACAAACAAAUAGUUUAUCGUUCAAUACAACAAAUAGUAAACACAACAAAUAGUUCAACAAUACAAUAUUGAACGCACAAAUCAUGAUGCCAUUCCAUGCCCACCACUCCUCAAUGAGAUCCUUCUGAAGAUCAUUAUGCGCUGCGGGACGUCGAAUGGCAUGAUAGGAGGCAACAAAACGGGCCACCCUUUCAGCCCUCCGUCGCACUCGCACGGGAUGUCCCAAGAGCUCAUACUGAGAGUAGUCUACAUCUUGGCCACGCUCAUUCUCGAUGAUCAUGUUAUGCAUGAUCACAUAAGCGUGCAUGAUGUACCAAAUCAUUUUCUGAUCCCAAAAUCUAGCCGGUCCUCUCACAAUAGCAAAUUGGGCUUGCAAAAUCCCAAAAGCUCUCUCCACAUCUUUUCUAGCCGCCGCCUGAGCAUUGUGGAAAUCAAGAUUUUUCUUACCUGCUGGCUUUUUCAACGGCUUGACAAAGGUUUGCCACUUUGGAUAGAUGCCAUCCGCUAGAUAAUAGCCAUAGUUGUAUGUAUGGCCAUUUGCUACAAACUGCACCGGUGGCAACUCACCAUUUGCAAUCUUAUUCAUCAGUGGUGACCGGUUGACAACAUUGAUGUCAUUCAAAGAUCCAGGCAUUCCAAAAAAUGCAUGCCAAAUCCAAGUCUCUUGAUCGGCCACCGCUUCAAGGAUUAUAGUGGAACCCUUUUUUGGCCGUGGAAUUGCUCAUGCCAUGCCUUUGGACAAUUCUUCCAACUCCAAUGCAUGCAAUCUAUUGAGCCAAGCAUGCCAGGAAAGCCGCGAGCUUUGUUCAUCGCCAAUAGCCUUGCGGGGCCUUCAGCAUUGGGAGAUCUCAAAUACUCCUCGCCAAACACUUGCACAAUUCCGACUGCGAAGCGCUUGACACACAUGAUGGCUUGGCUCUCACCCAUAGCCAAGUGAUCAUCAACUAGAUCAGCCGGUAUACCGUAUGCCAACAUAAGCGGCUGUCACCUUCUGAAAGGUGCUAUGCCCGAGCUCUCCAGCGGCAUUCCUCCUUUGCUGAAAAAAGCGGUCAUGGCUCGCUAGUUUCUCUGCAAUGCGCCUGAACAACUCGGUGCUCAUCCUAAACCGGCGACGAAGAUACGACUCGGGGUAUGUGGGAUUCACCGCAAAAUAAUGCUUGAUCAAUCUGUUGUGGGCAUCGAUCCUAUCCCUUCAAAUUUUCUGCCGACCCAUAACCGAAUCACCGUGCUUCGGUUUUUUAUUGAUAUGCAUAGCUAGGAUCAUUGCAAGAUCCUCCUCCUCUUCCAUAUCAAAUUCUUCUUCGGAAGAAUCAUACGACGAACUCAUCUACAAUGUUCAAUACUAUGCUAUAAAAUCUACAAUGAACAUGCACGAAAUUCAUGGCUUUUGAGCAAUACAUACCUUCUAGGCGUUUUAUCGAACACCUUGCGGGCGCCGAGCGGCAGCGAGCGCUCGGGCGCCGUUCGUCGGAGGACGGACGCGCGCGAGGGGCGGCGGGACUAGAGGGGGGGCGGAGAAGCCGCCGCGGGGCGGGGAUAGGCCGGGGAAGCGCCGGAACGGUCGCCGGGUGGCGCGGUCGGCGGCGGCGGCGCGGCUGGACGGGGGUGGGAGUUGCGAGCGAGCGCGCGAGAGUCCAGCGCGCGGGAGCGGGCGCAGCAAAUAAGCGGCGCGCGAUUGAGUUUCGGCCCGCGCGCUGAACUACAUAUGCCGCGCGCGCUGUUUUUGCGCGCCCGCUGGAGCAACUAUACCCGUUGCGCACGCGCUAAAACGGGCAAUUUUGCGGCGCGGCGCUAAUUUGGCGCGGCUGUUGAAGAUGGUCUAACUUCUGAAGGGUUGGCGGCUUGAUUUAAGGGCGUCGCGCGCCGCGUCGGGUUCGGGCUUUGUUCCUUUUGUAAACGGUACUGCUAUCUCGGGAUCGUUCCCUCGAACGAAAUCCUAGCAAACGGCCCAGAGACCAUAGGACCAAGAUCUGACGGUGACAGUUUUUUUUAAUGAAAACUACACUAAUAAAGACGAAAUGUCAUGUGUUUUGUAAAAAAAAAAUCCCAUCCCCAACACUAAAAGUGUCAGUCGGGCAAUUCCCAAAUGUGAUCACCGGGUAUCGCGGUCCUUUGUAAAAGAUGUUGUGCUUUUUUUUGCGCUAUCUUAGAGAAAUCGGUCAUCUUUUUUUUCUAUUUUUGUGCAGGAAUGUGGCUGUGGGUACCCACAUGCCUGACGGGCCAACGUACGUGGUUACUUUUUUAUUUUUAUUUUUGUGUGAAAAAAAGGCCAGAACGUGGUUUUCUUACAGGAAAGUUCAAGGGACUUCUAUUUGCCACUACACGAUCACCUAGCGAGCCCUACAACAGAGAGAAUCCUUCAAAACCAACCCUUCAGCGAAGAUCCAUAAUAUUUUUGAAAAUUUCGAACUCAAAUUAAGAAAAAAAAGAAUGUUUUGCGAAAUGCAACUAAUUUUCAAAAUUGUGCACAAUUUGCUAAAAAAUAAAUAUUGUCCCAAAUCAUGAAUAAUAAUGUGAAAUUCUAGAACAAAAUGGAGACGUGAUAUUUUUUUGAAAUUUUUGAACAGUUUUUCAAACAGGAAUAUUUCUUGAAAUUAUGAACUUUUUUUAUAAAGUUGUGAAAAUUUUGAACAAAAGCAAUCUGAACAAAUUUUCAAAAACAGGAACAAAAUUUGUAAAUGUGAACAAUUUUGUGAAAUUUCAUAACAAAAUUUGGAAAUGCAAACAUUUUUUUAAACACCCGAACAAAAUUUGAAAACAAGAUUUUUUUAAAAAAAAUUAGAAUAAUUUUUGAAACUGCUGAAAUAAGUGGAAACAUGAACAUUUUUAAAAAACGGGAACAUUUUUUAAAUUCAUUUCUGAAAAGAGGUGAAAAUUUUGAACCAAAACAUUCCGAACAAUGUUUGGAAAUCCCUCAAAAAUGUAAAUAUGAGAACAAUUUUUGAGUUACGAACAAAAUUUAAAAAUAUGAAUAUUUUCUGUAAUUUCCAAAAGAUUUUUGAAUACGUGAUUUUUUUAAAGAAACAUAAAGAAGAAAAAGAACAGAAAAACAUCAAAGUUAAAAGAUAAAAUGAAAAAACAAAAAGAAGCAGGGUAUGGUUGUACCUGCACUGGCUACGCAAAACUGGGCCGAUCCAUCCCGUCGCUCGCCUGUGCGAAGCGCCGGCAGUUUGACGCAGCGCGCGUCAAAUAGGAAAUCGCAAAGUUCAACAUUUCAUUUAGCAACUACUCCCUCCGUUCGGAAUUACUUGUCUUGAAAAUGGAUAUAUCUAGAACUAAAAUACGUCUAGAUACAUCCAUUUCCGCGACAAGUAAUUCCGAACGGAGGGAGGAGUUAACGAGCGCUCCUUCGGGAGCCUCGCAAUGAUCAGCGACACUUGGCACACUCUCAGCUAUUGGCCACGUGUCGCGCUCUGGAUGCUCCCUCGGGAUAUUGUUUUUUAUUAUAUUUUUCCGCACGCGUUUUCGGCCUUUUAAAUGGGUUUUUAGGGUUUUUCGACGUUUUGGUUUUUCACCGGUUUUCCUUAGCUUUUCGAUUAAAAAAAUUAGAAAAAAAAUUUGCGCGAAAAAACAUGUUUACUUUUUUCCCUUUCGCGAGAGUCACGGUUUUGCUUCCGCGAGAGGAACGAUUUUGCUUUCGCGAGAGUCACGAUCGUGCCUCUCGAAAACGGGAAAAAAACGCGUUUUCUGUUUUUUUUUCGCGAGAGCCACGGUUUUGCUUCCGCGAGAGGCACGGGUGUGUUUUCGCAAGAGUCACGGCCGUGCCUCUCGGAAACGAAAAAAAGGCGUUUUCUAUUUUUUUCCUUUCGCGAGAGUCACGGUUUUGCUUCCGCGGAGAGGCACGGUUUUGCUUUCACGAGAGUCACGGCCGUGCCUCUCGGAAAAGGAACCGAAAACGCGUUUUUUUCCUUUCACGAGAGUCACGGUUUUGCUUCCGCGAGAGUUACGGCCGUGCCUUUCGGAGACGGGAAAAACGCAUUUUCUGUUUUUUUCCUUUCGCGAGAGUCACGGUUUUGCUUCCGCGAGAGACACCGUUGUGCUUUCGCGAGAGUCACGGCCGUGCCUCCUCGGAAACGAAAAAAAAACACGUUUUCUCUUUUUUGCCCCUUCCUCCUCCCAGAAACUUCUUCCUCCUCCUCCUCGUGAGCAUCGUCUUCCUCCUCCUCCUCACCGUCUUCCUCAUCAUCAUCAUCAUAUGAAUCCUCCUCCUCUGGUUCCUCGUCGAUAAUACGCAAGUUCACAGGCCCUUCCGGCUCUAGAUUCGACGACAAGAGGCAGGAGCGAUACUCGUACCAGCUAGCUCGCUGUCGAGGAUCCGGCGACUCCAUCGCCUCUGCUAUUGCCCAGAGGAGGAUCUCCAUUGUGAUUGCCCCGUUGCCUUUAGGAACCAUCCGCUUCAGUUAAUCUGCUGUUACUUCCAAGGUCAGGCCCAACGAGUGCAACUCGAGAGAUUUCACGCUCGGAAACCAGGAGCAUGUUUCCUUGCACUUGGCCAGCGUUGCUCAUCUCCGACGCAAUCUCUUCCAUCCAGGUAGAGCUAAUCAAUCAAAGAAGAAAUUCACAAAUCAAAAUUUCUAGGGUUUUUGUUUUCUCACACUAGCUGCCACUAUCAUGAAUCCAAUCCUAAAUAAAUGUCAAUAUUGUUUGAAAUAAGGGCAUGGAGCAGCUCAACGAACAACAAUUAAAUCACCCAUUCAAUUGCCUAAUCAAAAUUACUAGGGUUUCGAUUAGAAAUGUACCUGUCGCCCAACUAUAUCGGAUGGUUUCUGCGAGCUGUGAUGUAUCAUCGUGUCGCUUCGCCAUCGGAGCUCCGGUGAAUGGUCGGAGUGGGCGGCGGGUCUUCUAGGGCAGGGCAAUGGGGGGGACUGCAACGGGAACGGCGGCGGUGAAGGCUGGGUGGGGAUGCGGUUGAUCGGUUGGGGUCGGGCUAUUUUAGGCGAAAGAAAGCGAUAGCUCACCGAGCCUAGGUCCCACUCAUCAUAAGCGGUCAUGGCCAUGGCCCACCUGCCAUUCGGGGCCCACAUGUCCAAAGAAGCGAGGACCCCACGCGUCAGUAACUGAGCAGGUACCGGUCAACUGCAUUGACCCGACGGCAAUGCUCCGUUUGGCCUUCGUGAGAAUGGGCCGAGUGGUGGAGGGGAAUUUUUGAUGCUAUGGGCAAAACUGAGCACAACUAAGGAAGGAGGGGCACAUAAAUAGAAAUCCCUUUUUAAGAAAACCUGGACAAUCCGCCUUGACAUGAUUUGGUUGUUUGCAAAAAUUGCAAAGUCUUUCUCCAGCAGCAUUUGUAAGAUUAACUGGAGCAGCCGCUGAAGGACCGGGACUUGAACAACUUACCUCAUUGCAUUGCUUAGGCUUUUGAGGAUACUUUUUGAAAAACUGCUUUUUGUUGGGCACAUCAUUGCUAUGAGCACUGUUCUCAUGCUUCCUUUUUUCCAGAGUUGACAUGGAAAGCUUGAUCUUUCUGUUCACUCUUCAUUCUCUCUUCCUCCUAAACGCAAUGUGCAAUGAGUUCAGGUAGUUUCCGCUUGAUUUCAAGAGAACUAUAGCUUAUCUUGAAUGGAUUGAACUGUGAGGGUAGUGACCUAAAAACUAGGAGCAUAAGAAGCUCUUCAUUCAAGUCACACUUCAUGGUUUUAAGCUUUGUCGCGGCAUUGCUCGUACUUAAAAUGUGUUCCCUCACACUUCCAUUUCCAUCAUAUUUUGCAAACAUCUUGCGCAAAAGCUCAUCUGCAUACACUUUCUCUGAGCCCUUUAAUUGUGCUUCCACCGAUUUCAAAUAUUCUGUGGCAUUUUCUUUAGCGGGAAUAGCCCCCUUAAUCUCAGAUGGGGUGGAGAAGUUCAUAAUUAGGAGCGUCAUUUUGUUUGACCUCUCCCACUUCUUAACUUUAGCAUUAUAGGCUUUCUUAAGCUCAGCAUACCCAGUGGCACCUUUUUCAGAUUCCACUUGUUUACUUUCCCUUAGCGCGAGGUCAACCUCAUGCCAGGCGAGGUGCAAUAGCAACGAGUCCUUCCAUGUUUGGAAGUUUCUACCAGUAAGUGGCUCAAUCUCGAGACCACGAGGACUGGAAGCUGUCAUGAUUUCAAAAAAUAUCAUAAGUAAAGGAAAAGAGCAUCAUAAUUGAAUUGCACAAAAAAUUAACCUACGUUGGUUUGAUCAAUUUUCAUGCAAAGAUUAACCCCAAAUUAUAUCACCGUUGGGCAGAAAAUAAUACGGCAUUAAAUCUAACAAUGGUAUUAGAGCCUAGUCAUUAGAUCACCUAAUUGUAUAAUGAACAGAGAGGUAGAUUAGGAUCUUACCACCAAUGGAAGCAGCCAUUGGAGUAGUCGAUGCGAAGUCCUGUGCCUACUCGAUGCAUGCGUGAUGCAGCCUCAGUGUAGAUGCUCGCAUCGCGUAGCGACGUCCCUCCGGGCGCCACCGGCACUGCCCUGAAACAGGGGCAGAGAUUGGAGAUGAUCUUCCCAUCGUGUAGCGCUCCCCCAGAUCGGUUAGGGUUUAGGGAUGUCGGGAGCAGGAGAAAACCUUACGUGAACUAGUGAGGUCAUAGGUGUCAGCUGCUCCCCCAUCUAAUAUAUGUGCACUAGCGACAGGGGACCAAAACCACUUCUUGGUAAGGGUGCCCCCGAUCAGGGCGUGUUAGUUGGGGUGAGGGGUACGUACGUUGGUGUGUGACCCCUCCCCUUAAUGCUAUCUUUUCUUCUCAGCUCGUUGGGCCUUUAGAUCAAUUCCAACACCUCCAAGAAGGACACCACACAUGUUGUGCCGCCGGCGCCCAAUCCAAGGGGAUUUGGGGUCUUCACCCGGGCAUGGUGUCGGAGCGGAGGAGAGGACCUCGAUGGCGCCUGCAAGAAAGAAAGCAACGACCGUGGUCGUCGCCACCAUCGGGACGAGUGGGCCAUCCAGAGUUUCCUCCGAUCCAAAGCCAACUCUACCAACUCCCGCCAACGCACCAGGCCGACGGCCAAGACUGCAAGCCACCAAGUGCAGUGGGAGAGAGGAUGCAACGAGGAGGAGAUCCACCGGCAACUCACCGUCCACGCAGUCAAGAAGCCGUCUAUCCACCACCCGCGGGCGGCGCCCGUCGAGGACGCCGCCACGCCUACCGGGGCUGCCACCCCGGGUCCAGAUUCCUCCGCGAGGACCGGUGGGACAUGGACCACUGUCACGGGGCCCAUGUCGUCGCCCAAGCCUGCCGCUGCCCGACCCCGCCGCCGCCGGGAGACCCGCAUGCCAUGGAUCUGGGCGCCCACGCACGCCGCCGGGAAUCUCCGCGCCGGGGGGGGCACCUUUGUUGUUUAUGUUGUUUCAGUAGUUGAUGCUAGUCUUUUUUUGUUGAUAUUCAUUGCUUGAUUACUCCUGAUGACCCCCUUGUCGAACGUCGUUUUCAUUCAGUAAUCGUCACUUUUCUGUCGAAUUAGGAGGCAUUGACCUUCAAAACUACUUUGGAGCAUAAGAAAAAAUAUUGUGGUACAACCAUCACGGUGUAAUUUCCGAUGGAAGUCCACAUGGCGUGAGAGUUACUUGUUUUUGUAUUUGCUUUUUAUCCCUUGUUUCUAUUAAUUGCUUUAUUGCUCCUGAUGAUCCCCUUGUGAAACCUUGUUUUCAUUCAUUCGAGAAUGGUCACUUCUCUUCCUAGUCUUCACGUUGAAAACAACUUUGGAGCAUCAGAAGUUCAGAGCAGUACUGUUGUACAUCUAUUGUGCUUCAUUUUCCAGUGGGAUUUCAAAACUGCAUUUGGAAUAUUAAAGAAUGGCUACAUGCAAGUCGCCUGAUUUUUGAAUUUGGGUCAGUCGACCGUUUUGGAAAGAUGCAAUGGCGAGCAGCUCUUCCUCUUCCUCCAGCUCAUCUCAUUCCUUCGAACCGCCCAUCCGCCGCCGUCCUAACCGUCUGUGGGCGGCAGCGCUCCCGCGCAGCCUCAUCGCACCGCCAUCCCUCUAGCCUUGGCGCCAACAGAGAUUUUCUCCAGCGAAGUUGCACCACCGCCCCCCACUAUCACCGCCGUUCUUCAGGCCCCCACCCCCACCCUAAGAUAGAUGAUGGGUAGCCCUCCGGCUAGCUCCUUCCUUCCCUCCGGCAAACUUCAAAAUCGACCGACCAAAAACGGAAGUCAGACGACUGACAUCCGGCUAUUGUGAUUAGAUUAACAUAUGUAUAAGUUCGAACAAACCCCAAAACUGUUGGGGAUGCCAUGUCCCAAAACUGAACCUUUCCGAGACGGAACGAGAAAACUGUUUGGAAUGUCAUGUCCCAAAAUGAUUUUUUUGUGAGAUGUGCGGGGAAAAAAUCAAAUGUGGUGACUUUUUUGCAUGAUAAUACGUGUCUCAUUAAUAAAAUAAAGAUUUAGUUACAAGUCACGUAAACAUCGACAUUACAGGACUGAAAAGAUAGGAUAAUCAUAUGGAAAAAAAACAGCGCCUGUCCCUCUCCACUAAGGAAGGAGACAGAUCACCUCUCCACCCGAGCUCGACGCGGCUCCAUCCCUGAUCAACAACUUUACGAACCUCCAAAGUAGAAGCAAAAACAUUGUCGUUGAAAGAAUCAGAUCGGGGCAACAUUGUCCCCGGACACGCCAUCGAAGUCCAGAACAAACACCCCCACACGACUACGAUGCCGGAGGAGGAAACCAGAACUGUCAGCCUUCAACCACAAACCUAGCACAAGAUGCUCCAUCUUCCAGCUGUCACUUGCGUAGACAGCCAUCUGCACGUACUCCUGGACGACAAAACCUCCAUGCUCCAUCAUGGCGUCGGAGACAACGCCGCAGCAACGUGGACAGAGCAGAAGGAGAGACACACCUAAUGGAGUCACCGCCGCCGCCUCGCCGACACCAUCCAUGAACCCUAACGCUGCCGAUUUGAAGGAUCGGCAAACACACGAUGCCAUCAACUGCGAGACGCCGCCAUGAUGAGCAUCGCCGGUGUGGGAGUGGAGUUGAGGCAAAUUUAUUCGCCCGGGCGCCACUCCCACCACCCCAACGGUGCACCACGAGCUACAAAUCCAAACCCUAACUAUAGAGCAGAGGAACGGGGUCCCCCCCUCCCUCCUGCCGUCGGAGCAGCAGCCGGAGGUAGAGGGGGCCAGCGCCCUGGCCGGUGGAGAUCGGUGGAAGAAGAUCCGCCUCCCUAGUCGCCUGGCUCCUGGCGGCGGCUAGAUCGGCAGGUGGUGACUUGCGGUGCUGCACACUGCACAGAACCACGUAUAAAACGAUGAAUACUUCUAUUUCUAAAAAGCCGCAGCUUUUUUCAGUUUGGUUUAGAAAAAUUAGACCUCUUUGUAAAAUACUAGUAUAAAACACAACAAUUACGUAUGGAACUACAGUGUUUGUUGAUACCAAAUACGUUCAAUAAUUGAACCGUGGUUUCUAAAAAAACACGGUAUUCCUCUGAAACUCCAAGAAAAAACUGAGCUGCCAAAUGUAGCCCUUUGUUUCCAUUCGAGAAGUUCGACGCAAUCCUUUAUAUUCUCCGUCUAAUCAAGCAGAACUUUGGAGCAUCAGAACCGUACCGUACACAGCUUCUGAGUGUCGAAUUCCAGACAAACGUCGUGUUUGUUCUCCGAGUCCGAUACUAGCCCAAACUAUUCACGUGCCUACAUAUCAACGGCAAUACAAAUCACGUCCCUAAAUAUCAAUAGUACAAAUCACGUCUCUAUAUACACUAGCACUAGAUAAGUGGCGCGCCUUGCCGCGCGUUGCCCGCCUCACAGCGAGCAACUCACAUGGAAAAACCAUUUGCACCAGAACAUAACCAAAACAAAACAAUCACAAGGAAACAUGUUUGUACACAUGGUUCUAUAGCCAACAUAUCCACAAGGUAGCUCUGUAGUCAUAAGCUAUACUACACUACCUCUGAUUCUCAGAACCUUCGUCAUUUUGCUCCACCAAAAAAGCCUACAUGGUGAAUCACAUUGGGUUUGGUUCAUCUUUUUGCUGCCAAGCAGGUCCAAGGUGUCAUCAUGAUAAUAUGAAAGCUCUAUAAACAAUAUUAGCAUUAGCUCAUGAUAUUAGGCACUAUGCAAGCUAUACAAAAUUCGGAUAGAUGACAUACUGAGAUUGAAAAUAAAUCUGUAACAUUGUGCCCGCAGAGUAUAAGUAGAAAAUAUGGCACUUCACAACCGAGAGAUCCAAAUAAAUAUUGCAGCUGAAAGAAGAAGGUGCCUGCAAGAAAAGAUGAUGUAGGUGAGAGCAACAUAUCAUCCACUUGAUACUUGAGCAGGAAAAGGAUGGAUACCUAUGUACAACUGGAGUAACUUAUCUCAGACGGUGAUGCAACAACAGUAUUAAGAGAGAACAUUUUCACCAUGAAUGAAAUUUCAUAAAAGGAAUAGAAAAAAGCAAGGAUUGCAGCUCAGGUCCAUUCUCGCUCACUGACUGAAGAUAACUGCGUGAACAUACAUGAUUCACCCGGUAUUUUUGUUUAUUUUUACGAUUAUCUCUCACAUUGUCGCUGUUGUAAGAGGUUUCAUGGUCUGAGAAAGAAAAUGCACAUUGAAACUAUUAUCAAUUGGACAUUUGCAGGUUGCUUUUUCAGGGCAGAAGUGAAAUUCCUACCAAAAAGUUAGCACCAGACAAAAAACCCACUAAACAGCACUUUGAUUAACAGAACUACAACCACAAUAGGUGUACAACCUCCAUUUACUUCCUAACAAACCAUGUGAGCGAUCCAAUCCCUAAGAUAAAUGAAUAAGCAAGGAUUAACCAAACCAGACCAACAAUGGCACCAUCGGGAGACCGAAUCCAACAAAAGAACCCAAUAAACAUCCUAUCCUUUCCACACUCUUUCACAAGCAUCAAUCCAACAAAAAAAAUCCAACCCUCUGUUUAUCAUGUGUGAAUGGACAAACAACUCUCUGUCUCUCGGCAAACAAACCUGAAAGUGCCAACCAAAAACAAAAGAAUACAUGGACACGGACUAAUAGACUAAUUCAAAUGUGCCAGAAAAAAAACGAGACUAAACUAAAGGGCACAUGUCUUAUUGCAUCCACACCUUCCUGACAACACACUAUGACGAGCAUGUUCUAUCAAACAAUCCUCACAAACUGACGCCACUGGCAUGACACAGGACACGCAGGACCAACACACACAUCAGUAGGCCAUGCCAAUUGAACUAAAAGUAGCAAUCAUUGUUUAAACAUCUCAAAUAAAUCAUAACUAAAAAAAGAUGUUCUCCUUAUCACCAUGUUCUAAGCAUGAAGGAGUUUAACAUCUCCACUCUAUCAUUCAGCCUAAAGAUAAAAAAGAUCUGAUGCAGGAAGGAACUAAAAUAAAGAUUCUGGGAACAGGUUGGCAAAGAAGUGAAGCGUGCCUAAGUUGUGCUAUCCAUUGUAAAAGAAUACUGAGCUUUUGAAAUAAAAAUAGGACUACCCUGUUGGGGAACGUAGCAGAAAUUCAGAAUUUUCUACACAUCACCAAGAUCAAUCUAUGGAGUACUCUAGCAACGAGGGGAAGGGGAGUGGAUCUACAUACCCUUGUAGAUCGCGAUGCGGAAGCGUUGCAAGAACGCGGAUGAGGGAGUCGUACUCGUAGCGAUUCAGAUCGCGGUUGAUUCCUAUCUAAGCACCGAAGAACGGUGCCUCCGCGUUCAACACACGUGCAGCCUGGUGACGUCUCCCACGCCUUGAUCCAGCAAGGAGAGAGGGAGAGGUUGGGGAAGACUCCAUCCAGCAGCAGCACGACGGCGUGGUGGUGAUGGAGGAGCGUGGCAAUCCCGCAGGGCUUCGCCAAGCACCGCGGGAGAGGAGGAGGAGGGAGAGGGGUAGGGCUGCGCCGAAAGAGAGACGUUCUCAUGUCUUGGGCAGCCCCAAACCUCAACUAUAUAUAGGGGGGAGGGGGCUGCGCCCCCUCCAGGGUUUCCACCCCAAGGGCUGGCGGCCAGCCCUAGAUCCCAUCUAGGGGGGCAGCCAAGGGGAGGAGAGGGGGGGCGCCACUAGGGUGGGCCUUAAGGCCCAUCUGGACUAGGGUUUGCCCCCUCCCACUCUCCCAUGCGCCUUGGGCCUUGGUGGGGGGGCGCACCAGCCCACCUGGGGCUGGUCCCCUCCCACACUUGGCCCACGCAGCCUCCUGGGGCUGGUGGCCCCACUUGGUGGACCCCCGGGACCCUCCCGGUGGUCCCGGUACAUUACCGAUAUCACCCAAAUCUUUUUCGGUGACCAAAACAGGACUUCCCAUAUAUAAAUCUUUACCUCCGGACCAUUCCGGAACUCCUCGUGACGUCCGGGAUCUCAUCCGGGACUCUGAACAACAUUCGGUAACCACGUAUAUCUUUUCCCUAUAACCCUAGCGUCAUCGAACCUUAAGUGUGUAGACCCUACGGGUUCGGGAACCAUGCAGACAUGACCGAGACGUUCUCCGGUCAAUAACCAACAGCGGGAUCUGGAUACCCAUGUUGGCUCCCACAUGUUCCACGAUGAUCUCAUCGGAUGAACCACAAUGUCGGGGAUUCAAUCAAUCCCGUAUGCAAUUCCCUUUGUCUAUCGAUAUGUUACUUGCCCGAGAUUCGAUCGUCGGUAUCCCUAUACCUUGUUCAAUCACGUUACCGGCAAGUCUCUUUACUCGUUCCGUAACUCACAUCAUCCCGUGAUCAACUCCUUGGUCACAUUGUGCACAUUAUGAUGAUGUCCUACCGAGUGGGCCCAGAGAUACCUCUCCGUUUACACGGAGUGACAAAUCUCAGUCUCGAUUCGUGCCAACCCAACAGACACUUUCGGAGAUACCUGUAGUGCACCUUUAUAGCCACCCAGUUACGUUGUGACGUUUGGUACACCCAAAGCAUUCCUACGGCAUCCGGGAGUUGCACAAUCUCAUGGUCUAAGGAAAUGAUACUUGACAUUAGAAAAGCUCUGAGCAAACGAACUACACGAUCUUGUGCCAGGCUUAGGAUUGGGUCUCGUCCAUCACAUCAUUCUCCUAAUGAUGUGAUCCCGUUAUCAACGACAUCCAAUGUCCAUGGUCAGGAAACCGUAACCAUCUAUUGAUCAACGAGCUAGUCAACUAGAGGCUUACUAGGGACAUGGUGUUGUCUAUGUAUCCACACAUGUAUCUGAGUUUCCUAUCAAUACAAUUCUAGCAUGGAUAAUAAACGAUUAUCAUGAACAAUGAAAUAUAAUAAUAACCAAUUUAUUAUUGCCUCUAGGGCAUAUUUCCAACAGUCUCCCACUUGCACUAGAGUCAAUAAUCUAGUCCACAUCACCAUGUGAUUAACACUCAUAGGUCACAUCACCAUGUGACCAACAUCCAAAGAGUUUACUAGAGUCAACAAUCUAGUUCACAUCACUAUGUGAUUAACAUUCAAUGAGUUCUGGUUUGAUCAUGUUAUGCUUGUGAGAGAGGUUAUUUAGUCAACGGGUCUGAACCUUUCAGACCCGUGUGUGCUUUACGAAUAUCUAUGUCAUCUUGUGGAUGCUACCACGCGCUAUUUGGAGCCAUUUCAAAUAAUUGCUCUACUAUACGAACCCGGUUUACUCCUCAGAGUCAUCCGGAUUAGUGUCAAAGUUCGCAUCGACGUAACCCUUUACGACGAACUCCUUUUCACCUCCAUAAUCGAGAAAAUUCCUUAGUCCACUAGAUACUAAGGAUAAGUUCGAUCCCUGAUCACUAUUGUACCCCUUGACCAACUCAUGGCAAGGCACACUUCAUGUGCGGUACACAGCAUAGCAUACUAUAGAGCCUACGUCUAAAGCAUAGGGGACGACCUUCGUCCUUUCUCUCUCUUCUGUUAUGGUCAGGUCUUGAGUCUUACUCAAUACUCACACCUUGUAACACAGCCAACAACUCCUUCUUUGCUGAUCUAUUUUGAACUCUUUCAAAAUCAUGUCAAGGUGCGUUCUUUGAAAGUAUCAUCAGGCGUCUUGAUCUAUCUCUAUAGAUCUUGAUGCCCAAUAUGUAAGCAGCUUUAUCCAGGUCUUCCUUUGAAAAACUCCUUUCAAACAACCCUUUAUGCUUUCCAGAAAAUUUACAUCAUUUCGGAUCAACAAUAUGUCAUUCACAUAUACUUAUCAGAAAUGUUGUAGCGCUCCCACUCACUUUAUUGUAAAUACAAGUUUCUAACAAACUUUGUAUAAAACCAAAAACUUUGAUCACUCCAUCAAAGCGUAUAUUCUGACUCCGAGAUGCUUGCUCUAAUCCAUGGAAGGAUCGCUGGAGCUAGCAUACCUUUUAGCAUCCUUAGGAUCGACAAAACCUUUCUGAUUGUAUCACAUACAACCUUUCCUUACGAAAACUGGUAAGGAAACUUGUUUUGACAUCCAUCUGCCAGAUUUCAUAAAUGCAGCUAAUGCUAACAUGAUUCUGACGGACUUAAGCAUCGCUAGGGAUGAGAAAAUCUCAUCGUAGUCAACUCCUUGAACUUGUGGAAAUACUCUUUGCCACAAGUCGAGCUUCAUAGACGGUAACAUUACCGUCCACGUCCGUCUUCUUCUCAAAGAUCCAUUUAUCUCGGAUUUCAUGGCUUCUAACCAUUUGUCGGAAUAUGGGCCCACCAUUGCUUCUCCAUAGCUCAUAGGUUCAUCGUUGUCCAACAACAUGACUUCCAAGACAGGAUCACGUACUACUCUGAAGUAUUACGCAUCCUCGUCGUCCUACGAGGUUUGGUAGUGACUUGAUCCGAAGUUUCAUGAUCACUAUCAUAAGCUUCCACUUCAAUUGGUGUAGGUGCCACAGGAACAACUUCCUGUGCCCUGCUACAUAGUAGUUGAAGCGACGGUUCAAUAACCUUAUCAAGUCUCCACCAUCCUCCCACUCAAUUCUUUCGAGAGAAACUUUUCCUCGAGAAAGGACUUGUUUCUAGAAGCAAUUACUUUUGCUUCCAGAUCUGAAAUAGGAGGUAUACCCAACUGUUUUUGGGUAUUCUAUGAAGACACAUUUAUCUGCUUUGGGUUCGAGCUUAUCAGCCUGAAACUUUUUCACAUAAGCAUCGCAGCCCCAAACUUUUAAGAAACGACAACUUAGGUUUCUCUAAACGGUGUCGUCUCAACGGAAUUGCGUGGUGCCCCUUUUAAAGUGAAUGCGGUUGUCUCUAAUGCCUAACCCAUAAACGAUAGUGGUAAUUCGAUAAGAGACAUCAUGGUAUGCACCAUAUCCAAUAGGGUGCAGUUAUGAUGUUCAGACACACCAUCACACUAUGGUGUUCCAGGCGGUAUUAAUUGUGAAACACUUUCCACAAUGUCUUAAUUGUGUGCCAAACUCGUAACUCAGAUACUCAUCUCUAUGAUCAUAUCACAGACAUUUUAUCCUCUUGUCACGACGAUCUUCAACUUCACUCUGAAAUUACUUGAACCUUUCAAUAAUUCAGACUUGUGUUUUAUCAAGUAAAUACACUCAGCAUCUACUCAAAUCAUCUGUGAAGUAAGAAUAUAACGAUAUCCACUGCAUGCCUCAGCACUCAUUGGACUGCAUACAUCAAAAUGUAUUACUUCCAAUGAGUUGCUCUCUUGUUCCAUCUUACUGAAAACGAGGCCUUUCAGUCAUCUUGCCCAUGUGGUAUGGUUUGCAUGUCUCAAGUGAUUCAAAAUCAAGUGAGUCCAAACGAUCCAUCUGCAUGGAGUUUCUUCAUGCAUAUAUAACAAUAGACAUGGUUCGCAUGUCUCAUUCUUUUCAAAAACGACUGAGUCCAAAGAUCCAUCUACAUGGAGCUUCUUCAUGCGUUCUAUACCAAUAUGACUCAAAUGGCAGUGCCACAAGUAUGUGGAACUAUCAUUGCUAUUUUAUAUCUUUUGGCACGAACAUGUGUAUCACUACGAUCGAGAUUCAUUUUAGGUGCAAGACCAUUGAAGGUAUUAUUCAAAUAAACAGAGUAACCAUUAUUCUCCUUAAAUGAAUAACCGUAUUGCGAUAAACAUAAUCCAAUCAUGCUCAACGCAAACACCAAAUCUCGAUGGUAGAGGGAGCAUGCGAUGCUUGAUCACAUCAACCUUGGAAACACUUCCAACACAUAUCGUCAUCUCACCUUUAGCUAGUCUUCAUUUAUUCCGCAGCUUUUAUUUCGAGUUACUAACACUUAGCACCGAACCGGUAUCUAAUACCCUGGUGCUGCUAGGAGUACUAGUAAAGUACACAUUCAUAUAAUGUAUAUCCAAUAUACUUCUGUCGACCUUGCCUGCCUUCUCAUCUACCAAGUAUCUAGGGUAGUUCCGCUUUAGUGACCGUUCCCCUCAUUACAGAAGCACCUAGUCUCGGGUUUGGGUUCAACCUUGGGAUUCUUCACUAGAGCAGCAAAUGAUUUGCUGUUUCAUGAAGUAUCCCUUUUGCCCUUGCCCUUCUAGAAACUAGUGGUUUUACUAACCAUCAACAAUUGAUGCUCCUUCUUGAUUUCUACUUUCGCGAUGUCAAACAUCGUGAGUUGCUGAAGGAUCAUCAUCUAUCCUUGAUAUUUAUAGUUCAUCACGAAGCUCUAAUAGCUUGGUGGCAGUGAUUAUGGAGAACCAUCACUAUCUCAUCUGGAAGAUUAACUCCCACUCGAUUCAAGCGAUUGUGGUACUCAGACAAUCUGAGCACAUGCUCAACGAUUGAGCUCUUCUCCCUUAGUUUGUAGGCUUAAGAAACUUGUCAGAGGUCUCAUACCUCUUGACGUGGGCACUAGUCCGAAAUCCCAAUUUCAGUCUUCGGAACAUCUCAUAUGUUCUGCGACGUUUCAAAAACCGUCUUUGGUGCCACAAUUCUAAACCGUUAGCAUUACUCACUGAACUAUCACGUAGUCAUCAAAAACCGUGUAUGUCAGAUGUUUCAUAACAUCUACAGACGACGCUGAGGUUCAGCACACCGAGCGGUGCAUUCAGGACAUAAGCCUUCUGUGCAGCAAUGAGGACAAUCCUCAGUUUACGGACCCAGUCCGCAUAAUUGCUACUACCAACUUUCAACUAAAUUUUCUCUAGGAACGUAUCUUAAACAGUAGAACUAAAGCGUAUGACAUAAUUUGCAAAGACCUUUUGACUAUGUUCAUGAUAAUGAAGUUCAUCUGAUUAUGAACUCCCACUUAGAUAGACAUCCCUCUAGUCAUCUAAGUGAUACAUGAUCCGAGUCAAACUAGGCCGUGUCCGAUCAUCACGUGAGACGGACUAGUCAUCAUCUGUGAACAUCUCCAUGUUGAUCGUAUCUACUAUACGACUCAUGUUCGACCUUUCGGUCUCUUGUGUUCCGAGGCCAUGUCUGUACAUGCUAGGCUCGUCAAGUCAACCUAAGUGUUUCGCAUGUGUUCCGAGGUCAUGUCUGUACAUGCUAGGCUCGUCAACACCCGUUGUAUUCGAACGUUAGAAUCUAUCACACCCGAUCAUCACGUGGUGCUUCGAAACAACGAACCUUCGCAACGGUGCACAGUUAGGGGGAACACGUCUCUUGAAAUUUUAGUGAGGGAUCAUCUUAUUUAAGCUACCGUCGUACUAAGCAAAUAAGAAGCAUAACAUGAUAAACAUCACAUGCAAUCAAAUAGUGACAUGAUAUGGCCAAUAUCAUUUUGCUCCUUUGAUCUCCAUCUUCGGGGCACCAUGAUCAUCUUUGUCACCGGCAUGACACCAUGAUCUCCAUCAUCAUGAUCUCCAUCAUUGUGUCUUCAUGAAAUUGUCACGCCAACGAUUACUUCUACUUCUAUGGCUAACGCGCUUAGCAAUAAAGUAAAGUAAUUUACAUGGCGUUAUUCAAUGACACGUAGGUCAUACAAAAAAAUAAAGACAACUCCUAUGGCUCCUACCGGUUGUCAUACUCAUCGACAUGCAAGUCGUGAUUCCUAUUACAAGAAUAUGAUCAAUCUCAUACAUCACAUAUAUCAUUCAUCACAUCUUCUGGCCAUAUCACAUCACAUAGCACAUGCUGCAAAAACAAGUUAGACGUCCUCUAAUUGUUGUUGCAAGUUUUUACGUGGCUUGUAUAGGUUUCUAGCAAGAAUGUUUCUUACCUACGUAAAACCACAACGUGAUAUGCCAAUUUCUAUUUACCCUUCAUAAGGACCCUUUUCAUCGAAUCUGUUCCGACUAAAGUGGGAGAGACAGACACCCGCUAGCCACCUUAUGCAACUAGUGCAUGUCAGUCGGUGGAACCUGUCUCACGUGAGCGUACGUGUAAGGUCGGUCCGGGCCACUUCAUCCCACAAUGCCGCCGAAACAAGAUAAGACUAGUAGCGGCAAGAAGAAUUGGCAACAUCUACGCCCACAACUGCUUUGUGUUCUACUCGUGCAUAGAAACUACGCAUAGACCUAGCUCAUGAUGCCAUUGUUGGGGAACGUAGCAAAAAUUCAAAAUUUUCUACGCAUCACCAAGAUCAAUCUAUGGAGUACUCUAGCAACGAGGGGAAGGGGAGUGGAUCUACAUACCCUUGUAUAUCGCGAUGCGGAAGCGUUGCAAGAACGCGGAUGAGGGAGUCGUACUCGUAGCGAUUCAGAUCGCGGUUGAUUCCGAUCUAAGCACCGAAGAACGGUGCCUCCGCGUUCAACACACGUGCAGCCCGGUGACGUCUCCCACGCCUUGAUCCAGCAAGGAGAGAGGGAGAGGUUGGGGAAGACUCCAUCCAGCAGCAGCACGACGGCGUGGUGGUGAUGGAGGAGCGUGGCAAUCCCGCAGGGCUUUGCCAAGCACCGCGGGAGAGGAGGAGGAGGGAGAGGGGUAGGGCUGCGCCGAAAGAGAGACGUUCUCAUGUCUUGGGCAGCCCCAAACCUCAACUAUAUAUAGGGGGGGAGGGGGCUGCGCCCCCUCCAGGGUUUCCACCCCAAGGGCUGGCGGCCAGCCCUAGAUCCCAUCUAGGGGGCGGCCAAGGGGAGGAGAGGGGGGGCGCCACUAGGGUGGGCCUUAAGGCCCAUCUGGACUAGGGUUUGCCCCCUCCCACUCUCCCAUGCGCCUUGGGCCUUGGUGGGGGGGGCGCACCAGCCCACCUGGGGCUGGUCCCCUCCCACACUUGGCCCACGCAGCCUCCUGGGGCUGGUGGCCCCACUUGGUGGACCCCCGGGACCCUCCCGGUGGUCCUGGUACAUUACCGAUAUCACCCGAAACUUUUCCGGUGACCAAAACAGGACUUCCCAUAUAUAAAUCUUUACCUCCGGACCAUUCCGGAACUCCUCGUGACGUCCGGGAUCUCAUCCGGGACUCCGAACAACAUUCGGUAACCACGUAUAUCUUUUCCCUAUAACCCUAGCGUCAUCGAACCUUAAGUGUGUAGACCCUACGGGUUCGGGAACCAUGCAGACAUGACCGAGACGUUCUCCGGUCAAUAACCAACAGCGGGAUCUGGAUACCCAUGUUGGCUCCCACAUGUUCCACGAUGAUCUCAUCGGAUGAACCACGAUGUCGGGGAUUCAAUCAAUCCCGUAUGCAAUUCCCUUUGUCUAUCGAUAUGUUACUUGCCCGAGAUUCGAUCGUCGGUAUCCCUAUACCUUGUUCAAUCACGUUACCGGCAAGUCUCUUUACUCGUUCCGUAACUCACAUCAUCCCGUGAUCAACUCCUUGGUCACAUUGUGCACAUUAUGAUGAUGUCCUACCGAGUGGGCCCAGAGAUACCUCUCCGUUUACACGGAGUGACAAAUCUCAGUCUCGAUUCGUGCCAACCCAACAGACACUUUCGGAGAUACCUGUAGUGCACCUUUAUAGCCACCCAGUUACGUUGUGACGUUUGGUACACCCAAAGCAUUCCUACGGCAUCCGGGAGUUGCACAAUCUCAUGGUCUAAGGAAAUGAUACUUGACAUUAGAAAAGCUCUGAGCAAACGAACUACACGAUCUUGUGCCAGGCUUAGGAUUGGGUCUUGUCCAUCACAUCAUUCUCCUAAUGAUGUGAUCCCGUUAUCAACGACAUCCAAUGUCCAUGGUCAGGAAACCGUAACCAUAUAUUGAUCAACGAGCUAGUCAACUAGAGGCUUACUAGGGACAUGGUGUUGUCUAUGUAUCCACACAUGUAUCUGAGUUUCCUAUCAAUACAAUUCUAGCAUGGAUAAUAAACGAUUAUCAUGAACAAUGAAAUAUAAUAAUAACCAAUUUAUUAUUGCCUCUAGGGCAUAUUUCCAACAUACCCUGCAUAAUAUCGCAUCUCACAAGCCAAUCUGGUCGAACCACAAUAUGUAAUCAAGUCACAAAGCCAAUCAAGCCACAUAACUGUAGUGGUCAGACAGAUCAGCUAAGGAACAAUAUGCAUCAGCCAAAUUGUUCAUCAGCGUACAGAUCAAUACAUCAUAUAUUUAAAUCAAGCAAACUAACACCAGAAUAAAAAUGCUCCCAAGUUCAUUGCUCAUAUGCAUUUACCAAAAAAAUGUGACUGUGCACAGCUUACAUCCAUGAUCCAGAAAGUUGAGGGUUGGAAGGGAGGAAUGAGAGAAAUAGGACCUUCGCCCCAAGCAUCAUAGACCCAGUCUUUGAAUGAUAAUUUGCCUGAUUAACAUGCCCUGUUGCAUGCACUGCCAGCCUCUGAUCUCCCCGCAGGGCCCGGGAUCUCUGAAUAACACGGUAUAUAAUAUAGUGAGUAGAUACCAACAAACAUACCCACAUAUACACACAUGAAUGAUUACACAGAAAGAAAUAUUGCAUAGAAGGUCAUGAUUCACACGAACUACGUCUUUCAUCCAAGAUAGCCUGACUGUAAUAUUAGGACGAUAUGAAAUAUUAAGAUGCCUGAAAUAAAGCUUUCUCUAUUCGUAAUAAUAUUUCUCCCAGAAAUAUUACAGUCAGGCUAUCUUGGAAUAAUUACAUGACAAGGGGCAUCAACACAUCAUUAUACCAAAAUAAAGGAGAAAAAAAGAAGAUUAGGAAAAGUUUAUGUUCGAGUAAUUACUACCUGAAAUAUCAUCAUAGUAAUUUCGGUUGUCCCUUGAUGCUCAACUAUUGCCAUUCUACAAUUGAUGCAUGACCAAAGAUCCCUUGCCAACAGAACCGAGAGCAAACCUGAAAAAUGACAAAAGCAUUGGCAGUACUUCCAGCAACAUAAAUCACACUAUUAUUGCAUACCCUGUUAUAACUUUCAGACUGCUCUCCCAUACGUGACUAAUUCAGUCAAUUAGAUGGGAACUUAAGUAAAUAAAAAACAUGACCUAGCAGACUGUAGAACCUGAAUUAAUAUUACGACAAAACUAAAUGCAAAAUGACUGGCUACUUAGCAUGGAAGAAUGCUUUCACCAGGCAGAGCUAGCUAUAGCCAAGUUGCAUUGGAUACAAAUGCUACAUCAUACUUCUUAAUACAAUGAACAUUUGACAAGCAACUAAAUUCUAACAACCAGUAUGAAUCAGUGACAUGGUACAAAUAACAAGUUGAUCCAUAUAUACGGACCUGAAAUUGUACUGUUGUAGACGUAGGAGGUAGCGACAUAAGCACAAUCUGAUUUGUGUUUCGUCCCUGAAUUAGAUGAUUCACUCCAGCACUCGAUUUUUUUCCUUGAACACGAAAAGAAGGAAAAAAGAGCAUUAGAAACCAGCAUAUGUAGGCCUAAAAAGAGUAUUAGAACAAUUUUCCUAAAAAAAUUGCAGGUUGCAUUGGAAGAGAGACACGGUAUAUCCCACAUUGCAAUGAACAGUUGAACAAGAUUCAGGAAAAGGCCAAGACAAAGCUGGAAGUAAAUUUGAUCCUAAGCAAGCAUCCACAUCUUGAAGCCAUAAUGGGGCGCCAGCAUAUAAUGUAGGCCAAUAUGAAAAGAAGAUUCAUCCUGAAGCCAUAAUGGGGCACCAACAUACAACAAGACACAUGAAGUAAACCUAAUUGUAAGAGCAAGCUUGCACAACCAUCUGUCCAACAAUCCCCUUCCUUAGAACCUACCUAGACCAUAUAACAUGCCACAAGUGUGCACCUAAUUUGGUACCACCCACCAACAUUAACCUAAGGCUGAAUAGUGGAGUCUGCAAUGACACCAAACCUGAGAUCUCUAAAAUUAUUUUAUCCUUAAUCUUGAACCAGAUCCACUUAGUUUAUCCAAAAAACAAUUGGCAAGAGCCACACUAACCAUCAUAGCACAGACUCGAGAUUCGUGCUUUACACUCUAGGAUAGGAAAAAAGAAAUACCAACCAAAGAACAUAGGACAGAAAUAUAUCCUUCCAAGGAUGUAGCUAGAUCCAAGCUCCUCCUGGACAGAAAGAAACAAAAGUUUGUCCCUUUCUUGACAGAGAAAUAGAACCAGGAAGACAACAAAAAACUACUUUGGAUGAAUCGUGCUAGAUCCAAGGCUAGGACUGAACCGACCUACUGCUACUACGCCUUGCAGCCAUUCAUCUACGUUCAAUACAAGUAACAUGCAGCCAAGCAUGCAUUAAACACUUUGACUGGAGGAAGUGCAAACUAACAUAGGAAGUAUAUCAGAAUAUGAGAGCAGAUGACAAAUAUUAUCCCUUAUGCUGAUAGGAUACAAAAUCCAAAAUAGGUAAACAUAUAUUGUUUUCGCGAUUUAUGAAAAUUAAAGCGCACACUGACCAAACAAUUAACACCAGUGGCCAUUGGCACAUGAAACAUAGAGCUGGAAGGCAAUAAGCAUUCAGGUAUAACAAUAAGAGAAGCACAAAUGCCAAAUAGAUGUUUAGCGGAUGUUCGAGCCCUGCUGCUUGGCACUUUGUGAUAAAUUGCAAUCAAAUUGGCUAGAUAAGAUAGAUGUGCAGGGGUAGGAAGAGAGGGUGGAGCUCACCACGUUCAGGGGGAGUAGGAGGAGGGACGAGCCAUGAGGGAUCGUGCCUCGUCCACCUGCAGCAGUUGCUGCUCAUCCAGAUCGGAACCGACCUUGUCCACCAGAGGAGCAGGGACGCGUGCGUGCACCUGCGUGACCAAAAGCAGCAACAUCGUGAGGGAAGGGGAGGGGAUUAGGGUUGGAGCAGGGGGGAGGGUGGCAUCCCGAGCAGGCCAUUGCGUGGGCCCGGAGCAGGCAGAGCACAAGCACUCGGAGGCCAAGGUCGGACGACAUCGCCGGCGAAUCUGUGAGCACCUUGGCCGCCGCCUGCCCUGCUCCCUCUCCUUCUUCUCUUCCCUUCCCUUCCCUUCUGAUGACGAGAGGGGGAGGCUGCGGGCGGCGUGGUGCGAGGGAGACGAGGAGAGAGGUCCACGCCAGCGAGGUCUGAGGGGCGUCGGCGGCGGCGAGGUCUGCGGGGCGUUGGUGGCGGCGAAGUGGGCAGGGCGGAGAGGUCUGGUGGAGGGAGAGAUCGGGGAGAGGGCUGGGGCGAGCGGGGCUGGGAUGCGGGAGGACGGGGCCAUGGCCGCCGCCGUGCUCAGAGCUCGGCCCCGACCACCGCUGCGCUCACCAACGCACCCACACGCUUGGGCUCGAGCUCGGCCAUGGCCGCCAUCGCGCCCGGAUCCAGAGCGCCCUUCCACCCCUCGGCGCGCGCUGCUCGCCGCCGGGCCUCACGGGAAUGGUCGCCGCCCGGCCGUCUUCAAAUCCGUCCACCGCGGCCCGACCAGCGGGCAUGUGAUUCGGGCGACGGGAGGGGAGGGGAGAAGGCGGAGCACGGGGGAUGAAGGGUGGCGGCAGCGGCGAGUGCGGGGAUGGUGGGGGCGACUGGGAGGACGAAGAGGCGAGGCAGACGCCCUCCCUCGUCUCAUCCAUUGACGGGCCAACCAGGGAUCAACGCGUCAUGGGCCAACAUGUGAAAAGACGAAAACGCCCUUGGCAGGGCACCGUAAUAACGGCGGUGGAACAAGAUAUUUUAGCUGGGAAGCAAACUAUUCAUUGCAACCGUGUUUUCAGUUCAAUCCGGCGGCUGGGGGCGCCUGAGGGCUCGAUCUGACGGUCCCAAACGCAUCAAGCAAAACGAUCCAACAGCUGAGAGUCGCUGAGCUCUGAGAAGCCUCAUGUUCUCCCAACUAACUUAUAUCUGGAUGCUGCAGAUGAUGGAAACUGAAUGGUUCAGGUAAGAUUGAAAAUCAACUACGGGAGAACUAAAGAAUCAAAACUCAAGUUUUUCAAAAAGAUCAAAUAAGAACUUCGCAUGAGUUUCACAACUCGAUUUUCUGCGAAUCCCCGCAUGUUAAAAAGAAGGUAGCUCGAUUUUGGCCCAAUCCUAAGACUAAAAUUAGCAUGUGUAAAACCUGGCAUCAUGCUUCUCUGCAGAACAAGCACCUGAUGGCGCGAGAUGUACAGAAGAACCAUAAGAAUAGACGUGCACAGCAUGGCACCACAAGGUUGGACAGUAAUAAUCACACCAUGUACAACAUGACAGCCCUAUUCCUACAAGAAAAAUGGGUUUUCAAAAUGUACCUAACCAAAUGGCCUGUUAUACUGGAGCCAGACAAUAGACAAAACCCAGAGUUAUAUUACACCACAACACAGGGCAUUUCUAGUACAGGGAGCAAAAGACCAUCCCAGAGGCAGGCGCCACAUCGUGAUCGGUUUGAAUCAGGAUCGCGCUUAAACCUGAACGUUUGUUUCCAUGGGUGGCCCGUGCUAGAACAGAUUUCAUCAUCUUGAUCUUCCAUCAAAACUUUAUGGUGCUUGCUUAGGUGCCAAGACAGAUGAUUAAGGCACUCAAUAUGGUGCAAACAUGAUGAUCCAACAGCAGCAACCGUGUCAUGACGAUAUUGGCUCGUAAGGAAAAGAAAGCCACGGGUGUUUCAAUGCUUCCAAGGCGCUUGGGCGCUUUUUCGGAUUCACCUCGAGAAGGUAUGAAACAAACUCGAUGAAACCCUGAUCGGCCAUGGGCAAGCGGUGCCGCAAUGAUGUCUUCUUUGGAAUCAAGUAUUCUAGCCUGCUACUCUCCUGAAGCACAACCAAUUGCAACUUAUUUUAGAAAUGAAAAUAUUUCAAGGAGGAAUCUGAAUCAGGUGCGCGUGAGUGAAAAAGAAACAUGGCAGAAGAGUUCAAACCUGAUUUCUUUCAUACAACAUGUGAUUCUUUGUGAAGUGUUUAUAAGUAUCACGCCCCUGUGCAAGCAUGGCUUGUUCUAUGGAACCAAUGAUGCCCAUCACACGUGCAAGUAAUGUCGCAGGAGAAUCGUUUUGAAAAAGAACCUGAAGAGCAUAUAUCAAUAGAAAGAUUAGCUAACAUAUUCUGCAUGUGUAAGAUGAAACACCAAAUAAAUAUUUUACUGUUGACAACUAAACAUAUAACAUAGAGACGGGCGAAAGAAAAAUAAAAUAGCUUCUGUUAAUGAGGUAUAUAGUUUCUAAUUGCCUCAUUUCCAUACUAGUACUGUUAGUGAACCUGAAACAUAGAUCUAUGGUAAAGACAUUAAAGAAAUAUGCGCUGAAAGAGAAGUUCUCCUUUUAUGUGAUUAAACUGUGGGUUUGCAUUACAGGCUCUUUCUAUUAUAUGUCGCUAAAAGAUUGUUACAGAAACAAACAAUGAAAGAAUGACAAUAAAUAUAACUGUUAAGAACGGUAAUCAUCAGCAUGCGAUAGUCACUUACAUUCCCAGUGCAAAGUUCUGCUAGAAUACAUCCAAGUGACCAUAUAUCUAUCUUUUUGUCAUAAGGUAGGCCCAGUAUGACCUCAGGUGCACGGUAAGAUCGCGAUUGAACGUAUGAGCAUAGAUGAUCAGUCUCAAAACAGCUACUGCCAAGGUCAAUGACCUUAAUUUCACAUCUACUAUAGCUCUUUACCAAUAUAUUCUCUGGCUUCAGAUCACAAUGAAUAAGACCAAGUCCAUGCAGAAACUGUAGCGACUCCAAACACUGAAUGGCUAUUGACUGCAAAACGGAUCCAUCAAAGAAAUUGAUCAAUUACCAGCAUGAAAAGUUGAUUCAUGUCCAAUUGCUUAACGAGAACACUGAAUCAGCAUUAAUAGGUGAUAAAGCUAAAUUAUACCUGUAAUCUUGGCAUCGUAAAGUAAACCUCGCCUCCUGAUUCUCUGUUAAACUUUUGAAAUUCAUACAAAUUUGCCUUCAGAAGUUCACAAACUAUCAACAAAUGUUCCUGCAAACAAAUACUUCAACUAAGUACUAGAGAACAGAGCUGACUUCGUCACAGGACGCCCUAAUCUAAAUUUGACAAUGACUAAAGAUAGAACCCAAACAUUCUAAUGAAUCGACUUGACAAAGAAUCUCAAAGAAUUUUUAUUUACAAAAUAAACUAAACUCCUAGAGCUUCAUAGUAUGAACAAAUAAUCCUCCAAUUGUGUUUGAAACAAGUGCAACACCAAACAUAGCAAAUUUCAUUACAAGAUGCAGUGGACUGAGGGGAAGGGAUUAGAUCAUUUGGCCAAGAUAACUGGAGAGGAAAUGUUUAUAAAGAAAAGGAGAAAAACUGACAAACAAAUGAAAUAAUGUAUCAACAAAAUUAACAUUAAAAGCAUAUAAUCAAGAUCUCGAAUUUACCAUAAUGCACUGUUCAUAUAUGCAGCUUCCAUAAAAAAAUGAAGGAAAAUGCUUCAGUAAAAUCAAUGGGAACAUAUAUCUCAACCCUAAACUUGAAAAAAGUAUAUGCUCCAUGGGAACUAAAUAAGACCAAUAAUGGGUCGGGAAAAGAUUAAAAAAAACUCAUACUUACCCGAUAGUAGAAGUAAUCAUAUAGGCGCAAAAGGUGGUACUUGUCAGCAGGGUCAUGCUUGUUCACAUAUUUCAGAAGCUUGAUCUCAUCAAGGCUCUGGUCGAAAAAAUCUUUGUUGUUCUUAAUGAUUUUAACACACACGUCCAUUCCUGUGUGUAAAUCAUGUGCCUGGAUAGCUUUGCUGAACGCUGCUGAUCCCAAAUACUCCGUGACAUGGUAACGACCAGCAAUAACAGAAUUGAGAACAACAUGGAAAUUUUUGUCUUCUUCGAAACCAGUUCUGUUUUAACGUUUACAGAAGAUAAAUGUCAGAGUAAACAAGCAUCUUUACACAGAAACAAGUACACAUUGUUCCAUUCUAAAUGUAAACACCAAGCACAAAUAGAGAAGUAGGCCUGUCCAUUUCCUUUUAAGCUUAACAUAAAUCAGGAAUAAAAAAGAGCAAUCAAGGAAUCAAGGACUUAAAAAGGUACCUAUUUUUCCUAUGCACAAUCUUCAGAUUGAAAGUUUCAAAUUCUUCCUCCUGGGCCUUUAUCUGCCUGACUUGUUCUUGCAAUGCUGCUGCUUCCUCGUCAUCUAACGUGGUACCGGUCUCCUCUUCUUGUGCAUCAUCUAGUUUCUGAUGACGAGCAUUCAUUGUUUCCUCCACUUCAUCAUAAGUAUUGUUCAGAGCAGACGAUGCGCUUGAGUUUCUUGAUCUAACAACAUCAGAAGUAAUUUCAUCUCGAGAGCUCCUUAGGGAAGAGACACUGUUCCUUUUCUUCCAUGUGGCAAGUGUAUCAUCUGAUACCGUGCCAUUUUGACAGUCAUCAGGAUCAUUGAUUGAAUAAUCAUCCUUCUUUGACCAUGAAGACUUAACAUCUGAUUCGGUAUUUUUUCCAGAAUGUAGUGGCGGUGGAAAAGAAAAUCCACCAUCACCAUAAGCUGCUCCUGGUGGCAUAUUGCCCUUUUGGAUAUCAUAGUUUAUUUGGUCCUGUUUGGCUCCAUUCGCAUUAACCUUUUUCUUUUCUGCUUCUUGCUGAGAGUGUCUCUUUCCACUAACACUCAGAUUACUUUCGUUGAAGUAUUCUAUGUCCCCUUCACUGCUUCCUCCAAUCAGACUUUCACGCACCUCACUUCCAAUGUCAGCAGCAUCACUACUUAUACCAACACCAAUUGACCUGACUGAACCGUGCUGAUCAUCCUCAACAAAAGGGUCAUCAGGAUGAGGUCGUGCAGAAUCAUUAAGGAAUUUCCCAUUUCCUAACAUGCCUAGUUCACUAUUCUGUGACACAAAACCCUGCCAUACUGGUUCAGAAUGCAUCAAAUUUAGUUCUUCUGAAUCCAAAAGUUGACCAUCAUACUGGGCUAUCAUAUCAUUAUCAGGAAUCCCAUGUCCUAUUGGCCGCUCCGAAGUACCUAUCGGUGCGAUGUUUUUCCCAUGAAAAUACUGCUCACCAGAUAUGUAAGAAUCUUCUUCAACAAAUGAUUGGUCAUCGUCAUCAUCCUUUGUAGGACGAUCAUGUCGAUCAGCACCACUUGUGUGACCAGUUGGCUUCUCAUUGUCACUAGGAUAGUCAAUCUCAUGUGCAAGAAACCAAGUUUCAUCCUCAAUUGGUUGUCGGGUGUAGCCAACAUCGUCGUCAUCGUCAUACUCAUCAGAGUCCCAAUACUCAUUUGGAUACUCAAGCAAAUCAUCACCAAGUGUGUCAAAAACCAUGUCAGGAGUAUCCUCUGCAAUGCCUUGGCUGACGGAUAACCAACUACUGCCAACCAUGCGUCUUCCACCUGAAUGUGUUAACAUGUAGGUCAAGUGUUAAAUGCGAAAAGAUUAGCCAAACUCAGAUAAGUGAACAUACAGUAGAGCACUAUAGCAGCUCUGAAGCAUGGGAAAACACUCCUAUAUAGUUUCAGUAUUUUCUUCCUAGAGCAAGAAACAUUUCACUGUUGCAAAUUUGAAUAUCCAUACUAUCAAACAUGAAAUUUUCCUGGGUUCUCUUUUAGCUCGCAUAAGAUCUACAGGAAAAUGUGAAAUGAGCGGUACAUAUCCCUUUACAAGAGCAUAUGCUCUAAAAGACAAGUGCCCUUCAAAUGCAAAGAAAAAGACGUACCAUCGAAGAUUCAAUUUGCCUACUGAUACUACCAAAGAUCAAAGUUUCCAGAAAACUUGAGUUUUGAAUUUUAAAAAUCUCACAUAAGAUCAACAAGCAAAUGGGAAAUGGCCACUAAAUAUUCCUUUGGGAAAAAGAAGGAACAGAACACAAUUAUAAAAGUAUGGCAUAUGAGAGUGCUGCCAAAAUAUAUAAAAGAUCAUAUGCUUUAAAGGCAAGUGUCCUUGAAAUGUAAAAAGGUCUCUCAUUUGGCUCAUGUGAUAAUGCCGUCAAACUAUGCAUGAUUACUGAAGGAUCAGACAAAGAUGCAUGUAACUGUGUGUAUGUAGUAUGUAGCAUAGCAAGGAUACAAGCUAAUAUGUCUGUCUAGAAACUUCAACAAAAGCAGAGUUUUGUCAGAAAAUGUGAUUUUUAUUUUGUCACGAAAAACUCUCCACACAAGAACUCUAACAAAUAACCUGCUUCAGCUGAUGUCCUUGUUCUCUAUCAAAGGCAUAUACAGUACAAAUCAUGUUAUCUCAAGCAUGCUGUCCUACAGAACCAAGAUGACAAUCCUGGUGAUUUGGUCUGGACAACUUCUAGGUCAAGGAGAGUUGUUAUUCGCUCAAUAGACAAUUAGAAGGAUAAACAAACAAGUUUGGCACAAACCGACAUAAAAUAAAGCUGCAGAGUUCACAAAAGGGGACAACGGCAAUGACUCUAGAACAAUUAAUUCCCAAGAAGCGAAGUGGACAAUUGUUACAAGUUCAUUAGAACUGUAAACAAAACCAUUCAAGUAGUAAGAGACUUCACAAUUUCUAUUGUCAUAUGCUCAUGUUCAACACAAAGAAAAAUGGAAUAAAUAUCUCGAACUAGUGCCUGUAUAGUCAUCUUCCUAAUUGUGAUGCUGUAAUGUGCACAAUUUUUCUACAAAUCUUUGUAAUGUUCAGUUGUUCACACAAAGAAGGGCCAAAUGUACUGAAUUAUCUAAAAGUUGCAGUUUCCUGUGGUGGGUAUGAGCUACACAGUCGCAGUUCUGUAGAUAAAAAUAUAGUAGGUUUUGUAAAUAUGUACACAGAGCAAUCUGCUGUGCGGCUCAAGAGUAAGGUAGAAUCAACUUGCAGCUACUGUUGUAACUAAAAGAUGAUCAUGUUGCCAUGUCACUAUCAAAUUGUAAACAACAUACCUGAUGAUGUAAUGUCCUGCCCAAUGGGAACAUUAAGAUAAGACCCAAUCAUAAAGACAUGGUCAGUACUAGGGUCGUUGGAUCCAGAUCCAUGAUGAUCGAUCUUCUCCUCCCAGUUCAUAUUAACAAGCUUAUCCUCGGACUUGAGCCGCACAGGAGGCAACUUCGGAAACUCUUCGCGUUGGCUAUUUCCCAUAAGCUGCAGGUCGAAGCAACGGUCAGCAACGUGAUCCACAUUACUCUGGGACUUCCCCGAGUAAUACUGCCUGUUCCCCUCAUCAGGUUGCCUCUUUGCUGCUUUUCCCGAACCAUCGGCAUUGACGCUCUUCUUCGUAUCUUUCCUCUCAUUUCCAUCCUGGUGAGUACUAUGAUAACUAGACGACGGGAUUUCUGUAGGAAACGGAAGCACCGUCUUGACUGCAUAGCCAUUCAAGGGCUCCUCCUUUUCUGGGACCAGAUUCUUGUCACUCGAAUGGCCUGGUUCACUGACUUCACUUCUCCCUGCGGUGUCAACUUUGCCCUUCCCUCUUCCAAACGAGACCUUCUGCUCCAGCACCGGAACAGGCUGCUCGGUUCCAACACCCCGGUCCCUCUUCUCAGUUAACGAUGUGCGGCGAUGCCUUGGCACUUCCUCAGACACCAGAAGCUCGGCCAGCUGCUCCACGGUGCUGUUGGCAAUGCUGAAGUUCCACGGGUACAGAUCCCCUGUGUUGGUGUUCUCCAGAGGCAGGCCAAUCCCGAGCCCCUUCUUCCCAUCAGAUCCAUUUGCCAGGCCUCCGACGUCAAUCUCCUUGACAAUGAACUCCCUGGACGAGUCGGCGCUUCUCACGGAAGAAGCGGCGCCUCUCGGCCCCGCGGCGGAGCCCGCCUCAGAGCCUUCCCGCUCGUCCUCCUCCUUGGGCGAGGGCGAGGGCGCACGCCUAUGCGUCUGCCCGUUGGUGGUGGCGCUGAGCUCCCCGCGGAGGGCGGCCUCGGCCUUGGCGAACCGGUUCUUCUUGAGGAACUCCAGCACCAGAUCGAUGUUCUCCGCCAUGGUUCCCUCCAAUAUCAGCAGCGAGACCUGGCGGAAUGCUUGGCGGGAGGCGCCGUCAAGCUAAAAGGCCGCGCUUUGCAGAGCCCGGACCCGGCCGAAUCGAAGCUUCGAGCCCCCGGGGACUUGCGGGGCCACAGAAUGCGCCGCCCCGCCGCCGAAAGCCUCGCGAAUCGAGCCCCGGAGCUCCCCGGAGCCGCGCUUCCGCGGCAGCAAGAAGAAGAGCGAGAGCCAAUCCCUAGGGCGAAGCGGAACCGCGGGCGCCGCUCCGCAGAGCGAGCGAGUGAGUGAGGAAGCACGAAUCCGCGGGAGCCCGGCGGCGCUCGAGUCGCGGGAGGAAAACCCUAGCCGUCCCCUGGACCCCAGCCUCAACCCCGUCCGGGUCGGGCGCGAGCGGGGAGGAGUGGCCGGGCAGGGCGGGGCGGAGGAGGAAGGGAGGGAGGGGCCAGGGAGCGGGAGGCGGGGCCGGGCGGUCAGCGCGGGGCGGCGCGGGGCAGAUCGAGGGCGGGGCGGCGGGGCGGCGGCGCGGGGGGCAUUGGGGAUCAGGGGGCGGCCGGCGUGGCUGGGGACAGCAUAUUCGCAGUGGUGGUGGUGUGGCGAGAAGCGAAAAGAAAGAAAUGGUUUUUUUCCUCGGCCCGUUCCGGCUGCGGUGUGUGGUUUGCGGCCCGGGGUGGGGAUCGAAAUCGAAUCGAUGGGGAACGGGGAAUCGAGGAGGGAUUUGUGGGGAGAUGAUGAUAAUAAAUCCUUUUCCUUUUCUCUUGGGCGAUUGGGCGGCCGUUCAAAAUCGGUCCCUCCUGCGUUCCGUGUGGCGGCUGUGACCGUUCGGCGCUUUCAUUGGUCUCGCGGGGAUGGAUUGAUGGAUUGCCCUAAGCAAAAGGUAUCCCAGGUAUCUCGCUGUAAAGUGCAUCUUGAUACUCUGGACUCUGGACUAGUAGUAUAGAGGUUACGAAAUGUGCGGCUUUUUAUUUCCGGCUAUGUGUAAAGUGAAGAAGAAUGUGCGCCUUCAUUGAGAUCCCAUGCAACGUUCUCUAUGUGAAACACAUGAAAAGGGCUGCGUAGAAAUACAAGCCCUUCCAUGAAUGGGACUUUUGUCCGCGUCUAUAUAAUUUGCAUCUGAUGCAUUGUGACUCCGCGUAAAAGUUCCAUGGGGAAAAUAGACCGUGGGAAAGUGAAAAUGGGAGCUCUUUUGGGCAGAAAAUAUCGUGAAUGCCCGGGUUUUUCUUUUUUUGCAUCAGAGGGAUUUGUGUCUACUAUGUUAGGAUUUCACAUAAAGCUCUAUGGAGAGAAAAUUAAAUCCUCCUCGGAAAAAAAAAAGUCGAGACACCAAAAAAGAGAAAUUAAAACCCUUUCGCAAUACGUAGAAAGUAUCGUGGACGGCGGAUUCCAUGGCUUGGCUAGGCAAGUCAUGUUCGGUGGGGUUGAGUGGCGUCACCACGCUAUUUGUUUCUAUCCAGACUCCAUGCGAUACUUGUGAAGCCACCUCCACUGUCGCACCCUCUCCCUUCUGUCGACGGACAUUCUAGCAUGUGUGUAGGGGGUGAUGACCGCACGCUUUGCUCUGUGAAUGAGCAUCCCUUUUUUGUCGCACCCUCUCCGUUUUGUCGACGGACAUUCUAGUAUGCGUGUAAGGGGUGGUGACUGCAUGCUUUGCUUUGUGAAAUGAGCAUCCCUCUUUUGUCGCACCCUCUUCCUUUUGUCGAUGUAGAUCUAGCCUAUGAGAAAGUUGUGAAACAUGGUGACAAAGCAUCAUGAUACUAUAAGUGGUGCCUUCUGUCGGGUCACGAUAGGUGUGAUGAAGUUGUUAGUGUCGAGGGGCGGGAGGGAUGAUGACCGCACGCUUAGCUUCGUGAAUGAUCAUCGCUUUUUUGCGGCACCUUGUUUUUCCUGAUGGGCAUUUUCCUUAAGCCCUCAUCAUUUUCCUUUUUUUUUGGCGAGGACCUUAAUGUUUUUCUUAAGCCCUUAAAGUUUUCCUUUUUUUGCGAGGACCUUAAUGUUUUCCUUAAAAGAGAGAAAGAAACCGGUGGAGUGUGGUGUAGAAGAGAAUAACAUUAGGGAAAUGAUUCGAAUCACCCGACUGAUAAUGACACAUGCGUCUGUCGCCUCUGUGGCCGCCUGGUCUGAUUUUAAUCAGAUGGCUCGGGAGCAUCGUAUUACCUAUACUAGAUUUUGCAACUGAGCCAUGGUUGCAAUCUCCCCCCACCGCAACAUCUGUUGUGUUGCGGGAUCUGGAUUCCAUUGUGAGCAGUCGCCUCACAUGCUCCCGAGCUCCCCAUCAAGUUGACGCCUCCAUACGCGGCCCUGGUUGCCGCCACCGUUGCUCGCCGCCAGCAGAACGCGGACGAGGCCGCCGGCGGCACGCUGAUGAGGUCGCCUGCAGGCACGAGGAGUCACCUCUCAUGCUCCUCCCGAGCUCCCCGUCAAGCUGACGCCUCCAUGCGCUACCCCGACCGCAGCAACCGUUGCUCGAUGCCGGCAGAAUGCGGACGAGGCUGCCGGCAGCACGCUAGUGAAGUCGUCUGCAAGCACGAGGAGUCACCUCUCAUGCUCCUCCCUAGCUUCCCAUCAAGCUGACGCUUGCCUGCGCUUCUCCAACCGGCGCCAACGGCAAGCACGCUGAUGAGGUCGCCGACAAGCACGUCGACAUGCAUGCUGCGUUCUACAUAGUGUGUUGAGAGAGAGAGAGAGAGAGAGAAAGAGAUAGAGAGAGAUGGAGAUGAGAGAGGAGGAGGGAGAGGAAGAGGAAGGUGCAGCGGCGUGCUUCUCCGGCAGUUUUUUUUGGAAAGGAGGGAAGCCCCGACCUCUACAUCAAUCGAUGCAUGCAGCCAUAUUAUUAAAAAAUCGCCGGCAGACGUGGCAACAUUUUUCAACACGUCGUUUGUUGCAAAAGGUUUUCUACAGCACGAGCUUUGUUGCAAAGUUUACGGUAGAAAACGCCGGUGUCUUUCUGCACCAAGGGUCCUAUGUGUAGCCUCGAAAAAAAGGUUUUGCAACAAGGGUCUGUGUGCUGUUGCAAUGAUGAAAAUCAAGAUGAGCAGAUGCAACGACUCAUGAAGCGGACGAUGUUUUAAAAAGAAAACACCGGCCGACGCGUAGUAACCCCAAAAUUAUGUGAAGACUCUCUUUCUUUUUGUGGUCCUAGAUAUAUAUUUAAAAUAGGUGUGUUCAUAUUUAAAAAAAGGCUGUCCGGACGUCCUACCUGUUGUUCGUUGAGCGAUGCGUCUAGUCAAAGCAUCGUGUUGGACAGUCCUGCAUAUCGUUAGGGACAACGGUAACGGUUGAACUGUCCCAUUUCUUCUGCAAAGUGAUGGCAGGAGAGACUACAUAUUUUCUGCUGCCCACUGUUACGUAGCACUUGUUCUUCCUGGCUGGACUAGGUGUACCGGCCACAAUCAAAUCAAAUAUAAAAUCAAUGCAGGAUAGAUGAGAUGAGACCAAAGCCGGGGCAUCGUCCUGCGCCACAAAUCGGUACGCGCUUACCGGACUUUAACGGCAACACGAGAAAUAAAAGCCAGAUAGCAAAGUAGUAGUAGUACUCUCUGAUCGUACUCUAAAAAAUUCUUAACUCCUCGUGUUGACAUUUUUUGGGACUUAUUAAACAUCAGCUAACUUAACCCUCAAACUCAGAACUCCUCAGAGAUUUAAGAAGUUGAGCCUCGAAAUAUUUUCUUUCUUUCUUUCUUCUUCUUCUUCUUCUUCUGCUCAAAUUUGAUCAGGAAACAUUCAUUCUCCACAAAUCUCCUACGUACUUCUCCCAUUCGAAAAAAUGGCACAAUCAUCCACGCACCGCCCGAUUGACCUCCCCACAAUUAUAAAUUCCCACCUGUGCCCUUGACAUCCCAAACCUUAGCUCUUUCCCGCGGUCUCCUAUUUUUCCAAAUCGUGUCGGAAGAGGGUCCGGGAUAUUCACGCCGAUCAAUCUACCAAGGCCGCGCCCCUGACAUCACCAUGUUGAGGCUGCUUCCGACCCACCGGUUCGCCUACUCAUGCCAGCACCUCCACCCGCCAUCGUGUCGGUCAAUUCUCCAAGCUCUAACGAUGUUAACGACGUGGAGGAGGCCGCUAGAGCUGAAUCGCUAGAAGAAGAGGGGGAGCAGCCCCACGCCUGCGUGAUGGUGCAUGACCGCAACGUCCUGGUGCCCCUCCAAACGUGCACUGGGGGGGGGGGGUUGGAGCACGUCGAUGCUGCGGUCCUCGUGGUCCUCCUAGCAAACCCUGCGGGUGGUGGUGGAGCAGCGGCGUCGAGCGUCGGGCAUCUUUUUCAUCCCGAGUGUCACUAAGCGUCGGGCAUCCUGAGUGUCGCCGAGGGUGGGGCAUCUCGAGUGUCACCAAGUGUUGGGCAUCCUGUGCAUUACAAGUGUCGCCGAGCGCCGGGAAUUCUGUGCAUCUCGAGUGUCGCCGAGCGUCGUGCAUCUGGUUUCCGCGAACCUUGUGACACCGCCGCCGUAGAACCGGUGCCGAAGAUACCCGGGGGCACCCACGACGGCAGAGGCAUCGGGCUCUGGAACAACGCCGGUCAUCUACAACCUCUUCGACAAGGAGGAGUAGCUCGUUUAGCGUGUUGUUAGCUCUAAUUAGGUUGUUUUCAUCAAUAAUUAAUGUUCUAGCUAGCUUAAUUUUAGAAGUAUGAUAUUUAAUUAUGAACCAUUAUGUAUAAUUAUGCACUAUGUGGUCUAAUGAAUUUUCCGAGUUUGAAAUGAUUUUGUGCACAAUUUUGAUUUUGAGGAGUUAAGUUUGGUGGUUCUGUUAGCUCCACAUUUUUUAUCUCCUGAUUAUUUGAGGAAUUAAUGUUAAUUUUGUUUUUCUGUUAGCACCACACUUUUCUUAACUAAUUAUUUGAGAGUUAUUAAGGCUUAAAACUAUAGCAGAGUCGUCUUUCCUCUUCCUCAAGAAAAGUCUCCUUCCCCCUUCCAUCAGCGCCGCUGCCGAUCCGCCCCACCUCCGAUGGCCUUUCGGCCCUGGUGGUGUGGAGGAUCUUAGCACCCGCCGGCGGGAGGGACCCCAUUCUCGUUUUUGUUAGGUUGGGGCUAUGUGGCGGUGACGAUGUCCCUCGGUAGGAAUAAUGUCUCCCACGUCCUAUCCUCGUCCCGAUGGUGCGAGAGGAUGUGUCUCCAUCGGAUCUCGUGGGAUUCGGUCGGUGCUGGUCUUCAGUGGAUCUAUUUGGACCAUUUUUUUCGUCUUUGUUCGUGUGGUUACAGGUCUGAUCUUUCUGAUAUACAAAUCUCUUCAUCGGCGAUGGUUGUAGCUCUGAUGCGCUGGCCCUUUGGGGCCUUGGCACGACGACUUUCCGACUGUCUACUACGACAAUGUUUGCCCGACUCCAGUGAGAGAGGGGCAAUGACGACGACGCGCCAUCGGCUCGCUCCAGUGCUUGUAGUCGACUCUAAACCCGGGCAAACGUCGGGCCGGGCCGGGCUUAUAAAGGCCCGACCUUCAUUUUUCAAGCCCGAGCCGGGCCCGAAGCCCGAAAUACUCCUUGUUUUUCAAGCCCGAAGCCCAAAAGCCCGCCCCGAAUGCUGUUUUUUAAUAUGCGCACGUGCAAGCCCGGCCCGAAAGAUAGAAAAAGGAAAGCCCGAGCCCGGCCCAAACUAUCUUUCAGGCUGCAAAAUAAAGCCCGAGCCCGCCCCGAAUGUCAAGCCCGGCCCGGGUCGUCGGGCCGGGCUGUCCAUGCCCGGGUUUAGUCGACUCUUGGUGGUUCAUAGACCCGAUUGUAAUUUUUAUUACCUCUGGUGUUCUUUGUACUGCCAUAAUUGAUGAAUAGAUUAAAAAUUUCUUUCAUAGAAAAGGAUUUAAAAUGAAAUUUUAAAACGGAUCUUUUAAGGUUUAUUUAAGUGCCACCGCCAAAACUAAUAUGGGAACAGAGGUACCCAAAAGAAAAAGGGAAAAGAGGCAAAUGUUGCAGACCAGAACUUUGACCCAACUUUCCUCGAUAGAGAAGGCACAGACCAUUCUGCCCUUUCUGUUCCCGCACGCCCACCCCCAUCCCGGCCGCCGCCGGCGCUCUCGUCGGCCCUAGGCGUCUGCAACCGCCGCCGCGUGGGGAGCUCACGCCCAGGCUCUAAUCGGUGACUCCCCUUUGCUUCAAACGUCACCCUUCUUCUUCCCUUUGUAUUAGGCCUCCGAAUCAUCAUCGUAUAUCUGUACAGACUCUACUGAUGUGCUCGACCAGUUCUCGCGCCCAUGCUGAUUCAUCCACGGCACCGCUACAGCCAUAAUUUUCUACAGCUCGCAGUGUCUCGUCGCCUCUCCUGCCCGAAGAUUUUCUCUAGUAGAGUACGUACUACUACGCAACCGAGCUCAUUUUUUUUAGCAGAUUCUUGUACAGACAUUUUACAACCGAGGUCAGGAUGCACCCAACCAACACUAACACGCACACCGGGAUCACGCCGGCAAACAGCAAAGCCAUAAAAGACCAAUGCUAUAGUAACACAGCACAAGUAGAUAACCAUACUUGAAUAAUCUCAUAACCAAGUUUAUAAAAGUACAUAGCACAGCCAUAAUAAAAAACUGAUAAUGAGGCAUCAAACUUGAACCUUACACAUACAUAGUAGGACGGACGAAAAGAACAUAGUACAUGACCAAACCGUGCCACACAACCUUUCUUUAUCCUGGAACUGAUAAGCGAUCCUACAAGCCAACCUUUGCUUCUUUCUUUCUGCAUUCACUUAACACUCUACCACAGCCUGCUGCAACCGCGUCGCAUCUUCCCCGCAAAGACGUCACCAUCCCUCGCUCAUGGUUCUUUCGAAAAUGAAG